rnacentral:lncRNA from 1 species
UCACCCUACUCUAAUAAGGCUUUUGAUAUCUGGAGCUCAUAGGUGGGAGACAGCUAAUAUAUACUUACAAGACAUUUAUUGCAUAGUCAAACCAUGGAUCCAGAAGAACAAGUCAAUAAGUCAAAUCAAGAUGUGCAUGUGUGGCGAAUGAAUGGUGAUAACAACGGUGAAAGUCUAAUUCUACUUAUGCUCUUUUGAGGGGAUACAUACCUUUCUUGCUCUUUUGAAACUUUUUGAGGAGAAUGAGAUGCUCUAUAUUUUCUUUUUCUCUUCUCUCAGGUGGGUAUCUUGUACCCCUAAUUCUACUGUCAGACACUUGUCCAUUUUUACCUCUCGUCUCACUUUUUCUUUUCUUCGAGGUUCCGGGCACUUGCCCCUUUUUAUUUCCUCGUAUCUUUUUUUUAAGAGCACUCAUCUCAUGAGAUAAUAUAGCAAGUGGUAGUAACCAAGAUAACUUGAGCAUUUAUUUUACAGGGAAAAAACAAAAAUGUUUUUGGCUAUUCUCUUCCGGAUUAGGAGUAGAAUAUUUUUGGGUGAUUCUGGAGAUGGAAAUGGGUGGAUAUAUGUGGACGCGUACUUCCGGAGUAGAAGCAGCAUGUGUGAGUGAACGUGCAAGUGAAUCUUGAUUUAACCACAUGACAAGCUCCUAAGGGUCUACACAGCUUGACCACACUCAAUGCUCAUAAGCAGUAAAAUAUAAAUGUGUGGCUCAAAGUCUAGCAAGCAUGUAUAUGGUUGUGGUAGGAAUUUAAACUCUCAUCAUACAGGAACUCAUCAUGCAACAUUUUAAAGAUUUUCAAAGAUAAAAUUCUCCAGAAUUCUAGCAUCUCUAAGAACAGAUAAACAACAGCUCAACCUUCCCAUAUCAUAUCCGUUAACGACUUAGACUUGAGAUCAAGUACUCUUCACACAAGUUCAGGUUUAGAGCAAAUCUUAAUUAAUAACAGUCAUGCCUAAACUUGAAAGAGAUUUCAAUUUUGAGAACUAGUCAUGGUAGAGCAACUAUUCAUCAUUUUCCAUGUGAGAGCUUAUCAUGAGGGUUCAUAGCAAACUUUAUUUAUUUAUUUAUUUAGCAAGCUAAGUAAAGAUAUAUAUAUAUAUAAGCACAAAAUCUUUAUUUGGGUUUUUAUGAUUAUGCAUCUUUUUAUUAUUUGAGUAAAAUAUAAACAUGAGUAGAGCACUUAGCUGGAUAAAUGGGGUUGCUCUCCCCCAAGCUGGGUUUUGACGUAAUUCCUUCUGAUGUAGCUAGCAGGUGGUGGAGGUGUAUUUGAAUGUCAGCAGCACCCUGACAGCGAUUAGGAUGUCCUCCGUAAGCUAGUCUUCUUUGAUCCUUGAAUUCUGUGAAGCUCAAAUAGACAACAAAGCUUUGUGGAACUAGUUAAGUGUUAGCAUAAAUAUCUAGCCUUUAUCAUGUUGAGCCUCCUCAAUAAAUGUUGCACUCUUUAGUAGGAUCAUAAAUUUAUUUUUAUAGGACAGGAAUAUAUUUAUUUUAUUUUUAUGCCACCACAGUGAAUGUACUUAUGGGUUUUAUGCCAUGAGCAUACUCACAUGGGGCUUACUAUUUUUAACAUUUUUAUUUUCUUUUCAAGAUAGCAUGAACUUGAUUAACUAAGCAAACUAUUUUAAAUAAUUAAAAGGAAAAAGAUAACUACCAAGUUUACCUCUUGGCAAGGCGUUCGGUGUUUUUACGUCCUCCGAACGGGACUCUCCGUUUUCUCAAUCGUCCUGGGAUUCGCUGGAUGGCGUAGUCGGUGGUUCCGGCGGCGCCUCCUCUUCGUGUAUAACAUUCUUCUCUCUACACACCUGACUCGGUGCUACGGUCUCCUUAGGACAGUUCUGUUCAAGUUGUAUGUCUUCAGACAUUACCACUUCUCCUUCGUAGUCUACCCAUCCGUCCUUGAUGAUUUGCCUCCUCUGGUUGCGGUUGCGUCAUCGUCUUCUUGUCCUGACCUGCUUAGAGUCUUCAACUAUAUAGUUAGGGUCAGUAAAAUAGUGACGUACCUUCUCAGAGGGGAAGUGCAUGUGGACUUCUCUGGUUCCAAUGUAUAUGAUUGGUUUAACGGUGUUAAAGAACGGUCUUCCAAGGAUGAUGGGUGGAUCGUACUUGUCUUCAAUCUUUCGAAAUGUCUGAUCUGCCAUCUGGAGCUGAAUGUAUGUCGGUUUCAGGGGCAUGGUUCCGAAUAGGAGCUGAUAAGUGACUGCGGCCAUUAUGUUGACGUUAGAUCCGGUGUCGUAGAGUGUCUUCUGAAAAGAAUAUCCGUUGAUUGUGCAGUCGAUGCUUGGAACACCAGGGUCAUCCUUCUUGGUCAGGAACGGUGACUUGAGUUGACGAUCUUGACCUCCUUGAGCUGCAGUGACCAUCUUAGCUGACUCGGUACACAUUUGCUUGUUCUUGUUCCUCCUGUUGGUCCUCUUCCUUGGUUCAUGUCGGGAUUGCUCUAGGAUUUGUGUAGUCUUGUUUCUUGAAGGAAAACGUCUCCUUCCUCCCCUUGAUGUAGAUACUGAUCUUGGCAGUACUAGCUUAGAUGACAGCUCCCGAGGUGUUCAGAAAUGGCCUCCCUAGGAUGAUGGGUGCCCUCUCAUAAGUACCAGUCUCUAUCUCCACGAAGUCUGCUAGGGCGUACAAGGUACCAACUCGGACACAGAGGUUCUUCAAUAUUCCUUUUGGAAAACUUAGUGUAUGAUCUGCAAGCUGCAAACCCAUGGUUGUUUCUGAUAAAGGAUGUGUAAAGAAUUUUUCAUAGAGUACCCUGGGCAUAAUGUUGACGCUGGAGCCAAAGUCGUAGAGUGCUUCUGGGAAGUCCACCAUGCCGAUGGAGAUUGGGAUGACGGGGCGUCCUGGAUCGCCUCUUGACUAGCAGAAGGUCAGUAAUUACUUCUACCAUGGGGUUACUCCAGUAGUUAUGUCCUCAAGCAUCUUAGGGCAGUGAUUGCCUGAGUGUCCAGUAUCUCCAGUCUGUUUGUGCUCAUAGAUACAAGUUCUUCACUUGGUGGAGUCUGGAAGUUGUAAAACUCCUUCAUAUUUUGCUCGAAGUGUACGUGCUCAUAGAGACAAGGCAGAGAUCAAGUGCAUGGGCUCUGUUGGUGGAAAACACCAACAGAACCAAAAGUGUAUUUCUUCUUCUCUAACCUUAAGCAUAGUGAGCAAGACAAAGUUGAUGGAUAAUAAGAUCAUGACUGUAGCAUUUAAAACAUUUGUCAGAUCAGAUUACUCAACCUUAUGGAAAGAUAAUCUAUCUAGAUUUAUGUUUUGUUUAUAUCUUCCAAAGAUUGAAUGUGCAACAUUUUAGGUUAUAUGAUUAGGAGUGUGCAAUCACAAAGGUGGAAGGACUAAACAUAUUGAAUCGAUUGGGUUGGUUAAUCUAGAGUUGUAAAUCAUACAUGUUUGUCUCUUUUAUUCAUGUGAACGCUAGAGCCAAGGAGAAGCUUAUAAAAGUGAUAGUCAAGUACCUUAAGAUGUUACCUUACUUGAAGAGUGAUGGUACAAUAUUACCUUGUGGAAGCUUUCCUUUCUUAGCGGUUAUGCAUCGUGUUGGUGGCACCCUCCAUGGAUCAUCUCUUGUGAGCUAUGUCUUCCUUGUGUAAAUUGUUAAACUUCAUGUGUGUCUCUCUUUGUCUCCAAUGUGAGUUUAUCUCAGGACUUCCCAAGUUGAUGUUGGAAGUUUUUUUUUCUGCAGGGGUUAGUCUGACAAAAUAUCCCAAUGUCUACACAAGCAGUUUUUAGUUCAAUAACCAAACUAGACUCCAUGUCUAAUUAGAUUAAGGAAGGCUGUUUAACCUAAGCACCAUGCUUAAUUUAAAAACCAAUAGAAGUAUGUACAGUACUUCCAAACUAACACUUACUAGGAUAAACAAAGGUAGCGUGAUGGCUUUUAUAGAGAUCUACUCAAGUGGAGAUGAAGUAGUGUGAUUACUAUUUAACAAAUUGAGCAUGUCUCAAAGGUAGGGACAACCAACAUAGCAACAUGGCAAAUGAUGUUUUUAUAUAAAGUACUCCCCCAAGCUUGAAUUUUGCAAAAUUCAAGUUUGGAUGAAUUUAAUUCAAUGUUGUAUGAUGAUUGGUUGUACAUACCUUGUGCUUGUCAUUCAUCCGAUCUUCUUGCUCCAAUCCUAGAAAGGUUAGUGACAAGAAUACCCGAAGGAAUAUUUUUACAAUUAUUCUUAUAUGCUCAACACACAAGGUAAUGUUGCAAAUAAUUCAAAGCUCAUGUUACGAUCUGAUCAGUGCUUAUUUUAGGACACUAAGCUUGUCCUUGGGAAACCAUUAAUUUAUGUCAGCGAAGUGGUUUCCCCUCCAACUCUGACCUAUAUCAAGAUCAACUCAACGAGAUCUACAAUAUUUAAUAUAGACAUAUGCAUCGACAACCGCCCUUUUAAAGUUUUUAUAAAUAGAAAGGAUGAGGGGGUUGGAGAUCUCGAAUGUGGUGAUGUUGGAGAGACCAAUGGAUUGUGACGAUGUUGCAUAUGAGCAUGGAGUAAAUGAAGUGGCUAUGAAAUAAAUUCCAUGCUCAAUAAUGCUUAGAGUGAAAUCCAUGUGGUAUGGUAAAAAUGAUAAGGUGAGUGUGGUAAAAAAGGAAAAGAAAAAGGAUACACGGACGACUUGGUUCGAAACUAGCACAGCUACCGUUCCCGGCAACGGCGCCAGAAAGCUUGUUGGGUAUUUUAAACGCAAACAGAAAAAUCCGCAAGCGCACGGAUACCGAUGUAGCUUUCACCCGGGAGUAUUCCAGAGUAUCGAUUUUCCACAGAGAACGUGAGUGUACUAAUUAAGAUCCAAGAUCGCCCAAGGAUAACUAUAUAACUAUUUUUGGUGGGAAGAGAGGAAGUUUCCUGAGAGUUCUCUAGUUGAUCUAAGAAUCAAGAAUUAUUUCAAGAUUAUCUAUAUCGGGACAUCAGAACACUAACCACGGAAAGAGAUGAGAAGAGGGCUAGGAAGCUCCGACUACGGUCCUACAAACACCGAUCCGAACGUGGUGGAAUACGUCGACCGUUAGGGCUGUCACUACCCUAAGGCUACCACAACAAUCCGCAGGAUUGGGUGCAAUUCCAGGUAAUUGCAAGACUAAACACCAUGUCUAAUCUAUUAAUUACUACUCUAAUGUUUCAAAGAUUAGAGCACUUGAUGCAAGCGGGAAUCCAAUAAAUAACUUGAAUGUAGAUAAAAGUAAUUAGAGAACUCAGGAGUUAUGAGUUGAAGAACCUAGAGAACGAGGAAGAACGAACCAAUUGCUGCAAAAGUACAAUGUUGAGGAAGAUCCGACAGAUCCGGCUCCUCCUCCUCCGCUCUCCUCUUCUCUCUCCCUAUUUUCUAGAUUACAACUAGAACUAACUAGAACUAGAGGAACUAGAACUAGAACUAGAUGAACUAGAACUAGAUCUAGAUGAACUAGAGGUAGAACUAGAAGAACUAGAGGGAUCCUCUCUACUUGGAUGAAGAAUUGAAACCCUAACUUUGAUUCUGUAGAAGAGGUAUGAUCUCCAGGGGCCAGGGGGUCUGGUUUUAUAGUCCCUUCAAGUGAAUCUGGUCCGUCGGAUCAAACUGACAUUAAUCGCACGGUUUUCCUUGAUCCUUUAGGUCGGUGGAGCAUAAUCCGCGAAACGUGUCCUGAUUGGGCACUGUAGCUGGGCGGGCGCCCAGGAGAGUUGGGCGGGCGCCCUGCCUCCGAGCCCGAUUUCCUUCCCGUUCGUUCCCGUGGCUUCUGGAGUCUUCUAGAUGGUAGAAAAUUGCGCGGCACGUUAAUAUCUCUAUGUAAACACGACGUGUGGGCCUUUCUUCCGUAUUUCCUGAUAACCCCCUGUAGAAAUAGACAAACACCAAAACUUGUGGAAUUCUGUCAGAUAAAACCCUAAGUCUAGGUGUUGGUUGCAUUUGGAUCCUUUUCCAUGAUUAAUUGAUGGUUAAAUAUGAGCAUUAAGGACCGUCAACAAGCUCCCCAAGCUUAACCUUUGCUCGUCCCUGAGCAAAGAUGAAGAAAAUAGUUUCUGCAGUGGUUUCAUAACUUAAAGAUACACAUGCGUUUAAACAAGAUCUCAUCUCUGGUUAGAGUAAACUGUUAAGACUUAAACUUACUCAUUUUACCUUCCACCAUGGGGCUUGCAACCGUCACUUGUGUCUUGAGCAGUUAAAAGAUAGAACAGUCUAGUCAAGCGCCAUGUCUCUAGUUCUUCGAUUAACUAUAACUCUGGUGUUUUUGUAGAUUUUCAAAUAAAACUCAGAGAUUCCUUGUAUGACUCUCUCUAGUCUCUCUUUUGUGGUAUUUCUGGAUCCUUACCAAGGCAGUAAAGGUGUAUGCCUUCUCUCAAAGUAUGUGGUAUUUUUGGUAUAAGGCAUAGUGACAUUGCCUUCUCUCUCACCCUACUCUAAUAAGGCUUUUGAUAUCUGGAGCUCAUAGGUGGGAGACAGCUAAUAUAUACUUACAAGACAUUUAUUGCAUAGUCAAACCAUGGAUCCAGAAGAACAAGUCAAUAAGUCAAAUCAAGAUGUGCAUGUGUGGCGAAUGAAUGGUGAUAACAACGGUGAAAGUCUAAUUCUACUUAUGCUCUUUUGAGGGGAUACAUACCUUUCUUGCUCUUUUGAAACUUUUUGAGGAGAAUGAGAUGCUCUAUAUUUUCUUUUUCUCUUCUCUCAGGUGGGUAUCUUGUACCCCUAAUUCUACUGUCGGACACUUGUCCAUUUUUACCUCUCGUCUCACUUUUUCUUUUCUUCGAGGUUCCGGGCACUUGCCCCUUUUUAUUUCCUCGUAUCUUUUUGUUAAGAGCACUCAUCUCAUGAGAUAAUAUAGCAAGUGGUAGUAACCAAGAUAACUUGAGCAUUUAUUUUAUAGGGGAAAAACAAAAAUGUUUUUGGCUAUUCUCUUCCGGAUUAGGAGUAGAAUAUUUUUGGGUGAUUCUGGAGAUGGAAAUGGGUGGAUAUAUGUGGACGCGUACUUCCGGAGUAGAAGCAGCAUGUGUGAGUGAACGUGCAAGUGAAUCUUGAUUUAACCACAUGACAAGCUCCUAAGGGUCUACAUAGCUUGACCACACUCAAUGCUCAUAAGCAGUAAAAUAUAAAUGUGUGGCUCAAAGUCUAGCAAGCAUGUAUAUAUGGUUGUGGUAGGAAUUUAAACUCUCAUCAUACAGGAACUCAUCAUGCAACAUUUUAAAGAUUUUCAAAGAUAAAAUUCUCCAGAAUUCUAGCAUCUCUAAGAACAGAUAAAUAGCAGCUCAACCUUCCCAUAUCAUAUCCGUUAACGACUUAGACUUGAGAUCAAGUACUCUUCCCACAAGUUCAGGUUUAGAGCAAAUCUUAAUUAAUAAUAGUCAUGCCUAAACUUGAAAGAGAUUUUAAUUUUGAGAACUAGUCAUGGUAGAGCAACUAUUCAUCAUUUUCCAUGUGAGAGCUUAUCAUGAGGGUUCAUAGCAAACUUUAUUUAUUUAUUUAUUUAGCAAGCUAAGUAAAGAUAUAUAUAUAUAAGCACAAAAUCUUUAUUUAGGUUUUUAUGAUUAUGCACCUUUUUAUUAUUUGAGUAAAAUAUAAACAUGAGUAGAGCACUUAGCUGGAUAAAUGGGGUUGCUCUCCCCCAAGCUGGGUUUUGACGUAAUUCCUUCUGAUGUAGCUAGCAGGUGGUGGAGGUGUAUUUGAAUGUCAGCAGCACCCUGACAGCGAUUAGGAUGUCCUCCGUAAGCUAGUCUUCUUUGAUCCUUGAAUUCUGUGAAGCUCAAAUAGACAACAAAGCUUUGUGGAACUAGUUAAGUGUUAGCAUAAAUAUCUAGCCUUUAUCAUGUUGAGCCUCCUCAAUAAAUGUUACACUCUUUAGUAGGAUCAUAAAUUUAUUUUUAUAAUUUUAUUUUUAUAGGAUAGGAAUAUAUUUAUUUUAUUUUUAUGCCACCACAGCGAAUGUACUUAUGGGUUUUAUGCCACAUGUUAAAAAUAGUAAGCCCCAUGUGAGUAUGCUCAUGGCUGUGGUGGCAUAAAAAUAAAAUAAAUAUAUUCCUGUCCUAUAAAAAUAAAAUAAAUAUAUCUCUAUGUAAACACAACGUGUGGGCCUUUCUUCCGUAUUUCCUGAUAACCCCCUGCAGAAAUAGACAAACACCAAAACUUGUGAAAUUCUGUCAGAUAAAACCCUAAGUCUAGGUGUUGGUUGCAUUUGGAUCCUUUUCCAUGAUUAAUUGAUGGUUAAAUAUGAGCAUUAAGGACCGUCAACAUUCGUCAACUUUGUGGUCGCCGACUUCGACGGGACCUACCAUGCAAUUCUAGGCCGUCCUUCGCUUACCAAGUUCAUGGCAGUUCUGCACUACUCAUACCUGGUCCUCAAGAUGCUGACCGAGAAGGGCGUCUUAACCGUCAGAGGCAACGUCUACACCGCGUACACUUGCAAAGAGGAAAGCUUCAAGAUCACCGAGGCAAUUGACCUCUCGAUUCGCAUGGCAGAAACCGUAGCACAAGCCACGCAAAUCCCACCCGACCAGCUCCAAGUACCCGAGCAGGAGACUCCAAGAAAAAGCUCCAAGUCCAAGGAGCACAAGGAAGUACAACUGGUCGACGGCAGUCCAGAGAAGACGGCUCUCAUCGGGGCCAAUCUGGACGCCAAAUAGGAAGACGCGCUCGUCAGGUUUCUAAGGGACAACGUAAGUGUUUUUGCAUGAAAACCCGCAGACAUGCCCGGCGUCCCAUGAAGCCUGAUCGAGCACUCCUUAAACGUCUCGAAGACCGCAAGACCUAUCAAGCAGAAGCUACGAUGGUUCGCUCGUGACAAAAAGGAGGCUAUUAGGACAGAAAUUACAGGGCUUUUAGCAGCCGGGUUUAUUAAAGAAGUGUAUCACCCCAAUUGGCUCGCCAAUCCGGUCCUUGUAAGAAAAAAGAAUAAUGAAUGGAGAAUAUGCGUUGAUUACAUUGAUCUCAAUAAACACUGUCCUAAAGAUCCUUUUGGUCUCCCCCGUAUAGACGAGGUGGUCGAUUCAACGGCCGGAUGCGAACUACUCUCUUUUCUCGACUGUUACUCUGGUUACCACCAGAUCUCGCUAAAGGAAGACGACCAGAUCAAAACUUCCUUCAUCACUCCUUUUGGUGUGUAUUGCUACACCACCAUGUCCUUCGGACUCAAAAAACGCCAGAGCCACCUAUCAACGCGCUAUUCAACAAUGCCUCCAUGACGAGAUACGUGACGACCUCAACGAGGCUUACGUUGACGACGUUGUCGUCAAAACCAGGGACGCAAGCACCCUGAUCGACAACUUAGACCGCACUUUUAAAGCGCUAAAUAAAUACAAGUGGAAGCUUAAACCCAAAAAAUGCAUCUUUGGGGUUCCCUCUGAUAUACUGCUCGGCAACGUCGUCAGUCGUGGUGGCAUACGGCCAAACCCCUCAAAAGUCAAGGCGGUGCUCGACAUGCGACCCUCCAGAAACAUUAAAGACAUUCAAAAGCUCACAGGGUGCAUGGCUGCUCUCAACCGGUUUAUUUCUAGGCUAGGAGAAAAAGGGCUUCCUUUCUUUAAGCUACUAAAGGCAUCCGAGAAAUUCUCCUACACAGAAGAGGCCAACGUCGCAUUCGCCCAGCUCAAAACUUUCCUCACCUCACCACCCGUCCUCACCGCGCCUCAACCCAACGAGGACGUGCUUCUCUAUAUAGCAGCAACUGAUCGGGUCGUCUCUACGGUGCUCGUGGUAGAGCGGGACGAACUAGGCCACGUCUACAAAGUCCAGAGACUAGUAUACUUUAUAAGUGAAGUCCUAAAUGAAUCCAAGACCAGGUAUCCCCAGAUACAAAAGUUAAUCUAUGCCAUCUUAAUCACCUCAAGAAAGCUGAAGCACUAUUUUGAUGGCCAUCGGGUUUUAGUUACUACAAGUUUUCCGUUGGGGGACAUUUUGCUCAACAAGGACGCCAACGGCAGAAUUGUAAAGUGGGCCAUGGAAUUAUGCCCAUUUUCUUUAGAUUUCCAAAGUCACACAACCGUCAAGUCUCAAGCCCUGGUCGACUUCAUCGCGAAAUGGACGGAUCUCAACGCACCACCCUCUCCAGAUGUCUUCGAUCACUGGUCAAUGUUCUUCGACGGGUCCUUAAACAUCAAUGGAGCCGGCGCCGGAAUACUUUUUAUUUCACCAAACAAGGACAAAUUACGCUACGUCCUUAGCAUCCUAUUCCCAGCAUCCAACAAUGUCGCCGAGUACGAAGCAUGCCUGCAUGGCAUCCUAUUGGCCGUCGAACUAGGAGUCAAACGCCUUUACAUCUAUGACGACUCUGCCCUGGUCAUUAACUAGUUAAACAAGGAGUGGGACACAACUCACGAGAAGAUGGACCUAUACUGCAAAGAAAUCCGGAGGUGGGAAUCAAAUUUUUACGGCAUAGAAUACAUACACGUGGUCUGGGACAAGAAUCAAGCAGCAGAUGCGCUGUCAAAGAUAUGAUCAUCCCAGGCCAAGAUUCUGCAAGGUGUUCUUGUUCAGGACAUUCACACACCAAGCAUCGGAAUGGACCUGGUCGACUAUCCACCCAAUGAGACGCUGCUCGUAGGAAACACCGCUCCGACAACCACUGGCAACGACUGGCGCGCUCCUUUCGUUAAGUACCUCUCGGACGGUUCGGGAUUUCAAGACAAAACGGAGAACGAACGUCUUGUCCGACGAGCCAAAAACUAUAUACUGGUCGAUAGUAAACUUAUGCGCAAGAACGCAAGCUCAGAAGUCUUGUUGAAAUGCAUAACUCAAGACGAUGGCAUCAAGCUGCUAGACGACAUACACGCUGGGUCCUGCGGCAAUCACGCUGCUUCUAGAACGUUGGUCGGAAAGGCUUUCUGAGUAGGUUUUUACUGGCCGACCGCAGUCGCCGACGUCGAGAAGCUGGUCUGGCAUUGCGAAGGGUGCCAGUUCUUCGCCAAGAGGAUCCACGUACCUGCUCAUGAGAACCAGACCAUUCCGUCGUCUUGGUCGUUCGCCUGUUGGGGCCUCGACAUGAUUGGGCCAUUCAAACCAGCUCCCGGCAAUUUCAAAUUCGUUUUCGUGCUAAUUGACAAGUUCUCCAAGUGGAUCGAGUACAUGCCACUGGUCAAAGCAACUUCCGAGAAGGCUGUAGAAUUCUUCAAUCAAAUCAUACACAGAUUCGGGAUUCCCAAUAGCAUAAUCACCGACCUGGGCACUCAGUUCACCGGCACUACAUUCUGGGACCUCUGUGAUGACAGAGGCAUAGUCAUAAAAUACGUGUCGGUGGCCCAUCCUCGGACCAACGGUCAAGUUGAGCGAGCCAACAGAAUGAUUAUCGAUGCACUGAAAAAGAGGCUGUACACGAAAAAUGACAGGGUGCCGGGACGGUGGAUGAAAGAAUUACCAGCAGUGGUCUGGGGUCUCCGAACACAGCCUAGUCGGAACACAGGUGCAUCCCCCUAUUUUAUGGUUUAUGGGGCUGAGGCAGUGCUCCCCUCCGACGUAGCCUUUGGAUCCCCAAGAGUCGAGCAUUUCAACCAGUCUUCAGCAGAACUUGCCAGAGAACUCGAAAUCAACUGCACAGAAGAGAGACGUUUGGUUUCUUGCCUUCGAACAGCAAAGUAUCUUGAGGCCAUAAGACGAUACUACAACAAGAACGUCAAAGACCGCUCCUUCGUGGUCGGUGAUCUGGUACUCAAAUGGAAAACAAGCCAGGAAGGAAUACACAAGUUAUCUACACCCUAGGAGGGAACUUUUGUGGUCGCCAAAGUUACACACCCUACAUCCUAUAGACUGGCGUACCUAGAUGGAACAAGUGUGCCCAACUCCUGGCACAUAGACAAAUUACGACGUUUCUAUCCCUAAGUUUCAGUAUAUCUUAGAUGUACCUCUCUUUUAAUGAAUAAUAAUAAAGUUUGUCUUCUUUGCUAUAUACUUUUACAUAUGCAGAAUACUCGACAAGUGCGACAAUAACUUUCCUUGACAAGCUACUCAAGGGUAGUCAACAUGAUUCAGCGAUACAUCACUCAAGCUAAUUUAUUUACAGCGCUCAAAACCAUGGUUCUCAAAAUUUGAACUUUACUACAAACUUUAUAUACAAAGUUUACAAUAAACACCCCUCUGGGCGGCCUCUAGUCUAUUCCUACAGACUACUCUAUGAACCUACUGCUCGGGCUGAUCACCCACGUGGGUCUCUCGUCCCGCCGAAGGGGUCAGGGCCACCGGCGCCUGGCUGGUCGAGACCGCAAGCGUCGACCGCCCAUCUCCCGCAAUCGACGCCCCCGACAACUCCUUGGCCGACCUGUCUGAUCCUGGCUGCUCGGAGGGGGGGUGGAUGUCCCGCAAAGGUUUAUAUCGCUGAUCACAGUCGACGAUAGGUCAAGCAGGCCGACGCGAAGGUCAUCCGCCUCCUUCGGACCGACCUCCUUAGGGUACCCCCUUUCCAUCCGGGACAGGUCGACUAGAGGGUAGUGGGCGCACACCAUGCUGAGGACAUGCGCCCCAACAAACUCCCCGGCAUCCUUGACGAACUGCUGAAGCUAGCCCCACGUCUGCUGCGCCUUCUCGACUGGGGUCAGCCUCAGUGCGCGGGGCUGGUCCUCGGGAAGCUCGGGGCUGAUCACAUCCAGCACCGGAGCAACUCCUUUCCAGAGCUUUAUGCAAUUCAUCUUCCAGCAGUCCCGAUCCUUGACCAGGUCCUCAACGUGCUUCUUGGCGUUGGCCUUGAGCACUAUGACCAAUUCCAAGGAAAAAAGAAAGCAAAUAGUCAGCAACAUGCUAUGGAAAUAUAAAAACUUCAUGGUCGAAAAGGACAAAAUAGAUCCUACCAGCCAGCUCCCGUCUCCUGGUCUUUAGCUCCUCGCCAACCUUGCGCUCGCUUUCCAGCGCACAGGCACGCUCCUGGUCGAGCUGAUCUCUCUCCUUUUGGAGACGCUCGAUCUCCUCCUCUAGACCUGAAAUAAUAAUUGUUCGUCAUCAAAACCGACAACAUAGUUAAUUGCAACUAUUCGGAAAUUUGACUUACCCUUCCUUUCAUGAUCCUUAUCGGCUAGUCGCCGAGUCAGGUCCAGCAGACGCUCUUCCUGAGCCGCCUUCUCGGCCACCUCCCUUUCGGCUUCUAGCUGAACGCGGUCCACCUCCGUGGUCAGGGCCUUGUUCUCGGCGACCACGCCCUCAAUUUAGUCAAAGCACCUUUUCCGGUACUUCGCCGUUUUCAUUGCAUCCUGUGGAAAUCAAACAUACCACACAGUGAAAAAACCAUGGUAUAUAUAUACAUAUACUCCAGCAGAGCAUAAGACCACUCACCUUAACUUCAUUGACGAGCCGCUUGGUAGUGCGCUCCACCCUCUCCGCCUCCUCGGUCUCGGCGAUCUCCUCAUUGCCGGCCUAGUGGUCCCCACGCUGGCGCCACACAUAAAUGUGUUGGCGACCAUCAUGGGGACGUCCCUGGAUUUCCUCCACUUCGUCAUCGGAGGCCGCCUGAGCCUCCUCGCCCUCCGUGCUACCUCCAGCCAUGGUAACGGGUAUCAUAGGACCCUUACCUCAGCUAGGGGAGCCCUCCUGCGUGGGCGCCUUCACUGAGUGCGGAGUUGGGGCCUUGCCUUCUUCAACUAGAGCAGGAGACGAAGCUCUGUUUUCCUCCUCUGCCGCACUGCUCGAGGGAGGAGUUCCCGCGGUCUCGUCCCCCCUUGUCGGGGUGCUCGCCCUAGCCUCGUCUUGGGGUCGGGUUCUCGUCGCCCACCUCCGUCGCAGCCACAACGGUGGGCUACUCUACGGGCUGCUCUGGGGCAGUUCGCUCUGCGACAUUAUGAUCGGCAGCCGCCGGCUCAGUUGUCUUCGAGCCCGCAAUAUUGCCAGGAUCAAUAUCCGAGGCAGCUCUACAAGGACAACCCAAUUCAAAGUUACUACACCAAUAUUAAACUCUACGAUAAAAGAAACUUUUCUUGCUAGACUUACAGAUUAGAACUUCGGUGCACUGCAGUGAAGACCCUCCUCCUUGCUCGCCCCGCCGUCGUCGUGGCCUCUGUCCUCCCUGGCUGUGCUUGCCCGACGUGCGCGGCAGGCGGAUCCUAAGCAACCCGAACACCGUCUCCUGGGGCGAUGUCGGGAUGUCUGCAAGGUCUGCGGACCAAGAUUGGGGCCACCUCUUCCUCCCCGUCGUCGUCAUCAACAAUCCUGACAAGCCGACGAUGCUUGGACGCUCGGCUGGUCGACCCUUGACCCAUCAAAGGGUCUGUAGCCGACCCUGCUGGAACCGCUUCUGCGGAAGAUGGCUCCAUAGCCAUCGGCCUCUUCCCGAUCACUCUGUCAUCAGUGGUCGGCGCUGGAUGGUUCUGAUCUUUGUCGCUGCUGGUGUAUUGGUAACACCGAGCAACGUUGUCUGCCGGCGGAUCCACCCCAGUAGGAUGAUCCAUGCCGGGUGCCAGUGACACAUACAUCGUGCACCGGUCAAUAUCUCCUAUCUACGAUACAAAGGCGACAAGUCAUCAGCCAAAGAUUACAGUAUUCAAUAGCAUUACAAAUGACACAAGGUAUUCAUUUACCUUAGGAGCUGGUCGCCCUAGCUUGAAGGCAUGCAUCCGAUCAUCGCUUCAAACGAAGCUAUUGUCAGCUAGGUUGAAUAACUCAUUCAUCCUCUACUGGAUCUCUGGUUUUACCAAGUUGUCCCGGUGCAUCCUGGUCGGGUCUUGGCUUCCUGCGUACUCGUACGUCGAGUGCACUCUCCUCUGGCAAGGCAUCACUCGUCGGGCGAGGAAAUUCCCGACCACCCUUGGUCCAUCCAGGUGGGACCAGUAGAUCAGACUCAUCAACUCUGACACUUGACCAGUGUACUCGGGCCGAUUUGUCCCGCUGACCCUCUUCUCGGAAAUGUAGCCGACAUCAAAGAAAGUGGCGCUGCCCGGCUCCUCCCUAAUAUAGAACCACCUCUUGUACCACUCGGUGAGGGAGGUAUUCCAUGGGCAACUGAGGUAAUGGUUUUUCAUCCCGUCGUGAAGAUUGAGGUAUACUCCACCUAUAAUCUUGGAGCCUCCAACCACCCCCUUCUUCCUCAAACAAAACAGGUAGCGGAAGAGAUCAAAGUGUGGCUCUAUCCCGACAUAGGCCUCGCACAAAUGAAUGGAGUUCGGGUGCAGGUUGCAGAUCCCGAUCUCAUAGUAAAGAAGAAGACCUUGAAGGAAAGGAUGAACUGGAACCCCAAAUCCCCUCUUGAAAUAAUGUUCAAAGACUACAAUCUCACCAGCACGGGGGUCGGGGUAACUCUCCCCUUCCGGUGCUCUCCAGCCGCCGAGCUCCUGAUUGUGCAGAAGCCCCAUCUCGACGAGGUCGUUGAGGGACCUCGUGUUGCUCUGAGAUUUCUUCCACUCCUUGGCCAUCAUCUUGGCCCUCUUCUCUGCGUCACUCUUCGCCAUUUCUUUUUUGCGGAAAGCUUUGAACUCGGACUUAAGGGAUUGAGGGUGCUAAGGAAGAUGAAGGCUGGAUGCUAGUACGCGAGUGCUGGGUAGAGAACAAGGGCGCAACCUUGGGCUCUUUUAUAACAAUAGCUCCACCUCUAGCACUUCCUGCAUUUUGGGGAAGUGAGCGGUCUUUUCGGCGGUUGUGGCGUUUCAGUUUUCAAGAGCUAUCGUAGUAAAUUUGGUGGCCUUCCUAAAUGAUUGUUGGUUUCCUUUUCUUGAUAUGUGCGAAGAGCGGCUGUACAGUUAGCAGGCGCCCCUUUUUAUGCAACAGACUGACAAGAUGGCAGGACGCUCUGUCACAUCGCACAUUAAUACAGCAUACGAUUUUUUCAAAAGAUAAGUACGAUCUUUGGCCAGUCGAACAUGACAUGCUCGGGGACUGUACCGACCACCGAGCAUGCUAUGCUCGGGGACUAGUCGACCAGUUCGCCCACUCGACAAUCUGGGGACUGUACCGACCACCGAGCAUGAUAUGCUCGGGGACUGGUCGACCAAUUCGCCCACUCGACAAUCUGGGGACUGUACCGACCACUGAGUAUGAUAUGCUCAGGGACUGGUCGACCAGUUCGCCAAUCUGACAAUCUGGGGAUUAUACCAACCACCGAGCAUGGUAUACUCGGGGAUCGGUCGACUAGUCCGACCUUUAGAAAAUCUGGGGACUGUACCAAUCGUCGAGCAUGAUGUGCUCGGGGACCGGUUGGCUGGUUCUCUCAGCCGCAAACAAGUGUAACAUGCUCUCGGCCUGGAAAAUUCAAUUGCAUAACAUCUAAUUGGGUAAUUUUAACUAUUUAGACCUUGCUACAAGCCUCAUAUUUCGUCUUCCAGCAAGCUCGGGGACUACAUCGGUACGAUGCAUCUAGCGAUGCAAGUUAGUAUGAGAAAUUUUAAGAUGAUUUUCUUUUUGGACCCUGGCAUCACGUGACUACGUCACCUAUUAGCAGGCUCGGAGACUAAGUGGGCACACUUCACUUUGCAGUGAAUUGUGGUUGCUUUUUGGAAGACUAUACUUUUCGGAAAAGUAAAGUGGGCACACUUCAUGAGGAAAGAAAUAUUUUUUGAUUAAGAGCACCAUGCAUUCUUCGAACAACCUGCUUCUUCGAUGUUGAUCAACUGGUUUUCAAGUUGGUUAUAAUACCGUUGCAACUGUUUGGGUGACUUUCCUGGUUGUCAAAAAUGUCAAGCCUCACUGGUCGAAGAAGCUCAAGAUGGUGUGUUACAUCACAAUAUGUAGUGCUCUGGGACUAGCUGUGGGGGUAUAAACCCCUAUACCCUUACAGCUAGAUUUGGGCUAGGAGACUUGGCCCAUCGCGAGACAGAUUCGGAGCUUGAUCCAACUGCUCGGAGUUUCGCGCAAGGAAACAAGACGUGGAGAUCAAGCAGGAUUCUAGUCGGUUAUAAUAGGAAUUGAUAUCGUGUUAUCUAUGGCAAUUGUAACCGACUAGGAUUAGUUUCCAGAUCUGUAAUCCUACCCUCUGAACUAUAUAAAGAGAGGCAAGGGACCCCCCCUAGCAUAACUCAUCUCAACUCAACACAAUUCAAUUCAAUCCAUAGCAAUACAAUCAGACGCAGGACGUAGGUAUUACGCCCACACGACGACCGAACUUGGUUAAAAUCCUUGUCUGUGUCAUGCGUCACCAUCAAGUUUGUAGCUUGCGCAUCUGUCUGCCGAUAAACUACUACCAUGGGUAUACCCCAAGGUAGACUGCCGACUAGCUUUCAUCGACAGUAUAAGAAAGAAUAGCGAACUUCUCGUGCACAAGAAAGAAUAGCGAGCGCAUGAGCUACGGGAUAGCAAGGGGAGUCUCUAACACUGGUUACCACGGCUGGAUACUGUUGACGGUCCUUAAGUAUCAAAUUUAAUUAUCAAAUAAAUAAAGAAAAGGAUCCAAAUGAAAUCAACAUCUAGACUUAGGGUUUUAUCUGACAGAAUUCUACAAGUUUUGGUGUUUGUCUAUUUCUGAAGGGGGUUAUCAGGAAAUACAGAAGAAAGACCCACACGUCGGGAUUACAUAGAGAUAUUAACCUGCCGCGCAAUUAUCUUACAUCUAGAAGACUCCAGAAGCCAUGGGAAGAAAGCGGAGGCCGAAUGGGGCCAGAGGCAGGGCGCCCGCCCUCCUGCCCUGGGCGCCCGCCCCCUCUCUGAGUCCAAUCAGGACUCUAUUUCUCGAGAGAUCUCCACCGACCUAAAGGAUCAAGGAUAACCGUUCAAUCAAUGUCGGUUUGAUCCAACGGCCCAUAUUCACUUGAAGGGACUAUAAAACCAGACCCCCUGGCCCCUGGAGGAGGGAGCCUCUCAACCCUAAUUCAUUAUUCCUCAAGGGAGAAGAAGCCUCUGAUCAAGAUUAGAGCCACCACAUCAAUUAGACAUCUAGAUUAGCAUAGCUACAUAGGAUUAGAACUAGAAGGAGUCAAUCUUCGAUUGGUUUCCGGAUCUGUCAAGAGGAUUCUUGGUAAUUCUCUAAUUGUGCUUCUAAUUGUUCUUCUAAUCAUCUUUGCUCUUCAAUAUUAUGAAUAUGACUUUGUUCUACUUCAAUAUAUUGCUUAUGACUUUGCUCUACUUGUUUAUAUUCAAGAUUAUAUUGUUCUUAGUUUAUCAUAGUUAUGUAUUUGGCUUAGUUAGAUUAGAUCUAUAUACAUGCUUAGGAUCGUAUAGCGUUUAUCUAUCGGAUCCAUGGGUAAAUGAUAGAUAUUGUGUAGGUGUGGUGCUUAUACCGUAUUUAUCUGCGAUUGUACCCAAUAUGCCAGAUCGUGGGGUAGUUCGUGAUAGUGACAGCUUCAUUGAUUCUUAUAUAGUCCCCCUCUCGUGUAUUGGGCUGGCAGAGCAAUAUUAUUACAGGGGAGUGAUUGCUAUGUUUCUCAUAUUCCUUGCUAAUAUCACUAUGCAUGGGCGUAGUCUUGUCUCGCAAUGAUUGCUAAGUAUGCUUGCACUAACUAUGAUAAUGCUAGACUAUAUAGUUGAGAAUAACUUAGGGAAUAUUCUUGUAGUUCGUUCUAAUUCCAUGCUAAUGACUUUCUAGAGUAUCUAAUUGAGGUGCUUAUCAUAUUUAUAUGUGGCUGAUCAGAUUAAUUAUCCUUGUCACUAUUUAUUACUUCAUAUAUCUUUUAUGUGACACUUACCCCUGUAUGAAAGAGUUAGAUAAAUGUUCUCAAUUAUACAUGCUAUGAUAGAUACUCAAUCUCAUAUUCUAUUCUGUAAUCAAUAUUGAUGAUUGUUAAUCCCUUCCCAGUGGUAAAAAUAUAAAUAACGAUACCUGAAAUACAUCCUGGUUAAAAUGCUACAUCGGUAUUAAUCUGUGCGCUUGCAGAUCCCAUUCAUUAUUUAUUUAGAAGAGCAAUUGCAUAUUUCAAUACCACGUCUCUCAUGUCAUGCUGGGGAUGGCAACUUGGCUUAAGUGGUGUGAGGGAUAGGUUUGGCAUUUUUGGCACCGUUACUAGAUUUAGAGAACUUAGUCUACUUUUGGUAAUGAUGUUAAGAAUACCCAACAAGCAUUUUUGGCGCCGUUGCCAGGGAAGGUUGAUUACUAAUCAAGAAUGGAAUAAAGGAUUUUGAGUUAUCAUUCGCAUCACUAAUAUGAUUGAGCUUAUCUAUUGUCUCAUACAGUUUUACCCCGAUAUUUUUCUAUUUUAUCUUAUGCAGGGGAAUGUAUGAAUAGAAGACAUCUUCCAGGAAAUUUUGUUGACAAUCCCGAAGCCUUAUUCAAGAAGACAAGAGCCAAGCUUAAGAAGAGAUCAUCAACACUUCAGCAAGAAGCUUCAUCCAAUCAAGAAGAUCACCGGAACUUGUCUUCAGAGUUCGAAGCCAUGGCGAACAAAUCAAUCCGUGAGUUCUCAGCUCCCACUACGGACAACAUCCGCACUGGACCUGCUGCAGAGAUCGAUGGCAACUUUGAGCUCAAGCCUGGACUUAUCAACAAGGUGCAAUCCAACCAGUUCUGUGGGAAGGCACACGAAGAUGCUAGUGCUCAUCUCCAACACUUCCUGGAGAUUUGCAAACACAUUCACCAUAUCAGGAGUUUCCAGAGAUGCUAUACUACUUUGCCUCUUCCUAUUCUCAGUGUUAGGGAGAGCGAAGCAGUGGUUCUACGCUACAAAGGAGAAGAAUACUACGUGGGCACUCUGCUCAACAAACUUCCUGGCUAAGUUCUUUCCUAUGGGCAAGACCAAUGCUCUCCGUGGGAAGAUUACAAGUUUUCAGCAACAACAUGAUGAAUCUGUUCCAGAAGCAUGGGAGCGCUUCCAAGACUACAUCCUAGAAUAUCCCCAUCAUGGAAUGGAGAGUUGUCUACUGAUGCAGACGUUUUAUCAUGGGCUCGGCAACAGUGCCCGAGAGACCAUGCAUGCUGCAGCUGGAGGAGCAUUCUUAUCACUCACCAUAUUACAAGCCACAGCUCUUGUGGAGAAGAUGGCGUCCAAUCAAGGCUGGAAUGAAGAGAGGACCCAGACACGCAAGAAAGGUGGAGGUAUGCACCAGCUCAAGGAGGUAGACAUGCUGUCUGCAAAGCUAGACCUGCUCAUGAAGAAGCUCGAUGAUAGAGCUGGAGAUAAGAAAGAAGUUAUGCACAUCUACAACUCUCACAUGACUUGUGAGGAGUGUGGAGAUACUGGACACUCAGGCAACCACUGCCCUGAGAUGCAUGAGGAUGUGAACUACAUCAACAACAACAACAACAACUACAACCGUCCUCAACAAAAUCAAGGUUGGAAUCAACAGAGGCCUAACUACUCACGUAAUUAUCAAGGUAACAAUUCUUACAACAAUAAUAAUAAUUUUCCACCUCUGAGAGAGUUAGUGUCUAAUCAAGGAAAGCUAAUGGAUAACCUAUCUAAGAAAUUGGCAUCAAAUGAUAAAAUGCUAGAAAAUAUAAAUAAUAGAAUGGAUAAUUUCUCUACUGCCAUCAAGAAUCAAAUUAGCUUUAAUAAAAUGAUUGAAUCCCAGUUAAAUCAAAUAGCUGCUGCUGUUCCUGCUACUAACCCCGGUAUACCAUCACAACCGGAAGGAUUAGAAUCUGCAAAUCUUGUAGACAUGUUUGAUACAGGUAAUUGGAGUAACCCCGUCACUGAAUUCACUACUGACUUUCUGCCGGUCAAGAAAGGCGAUCCAGGACGCCCCGUCAUCCCGAUCUCCAUCGGCAUGGUGGACGUUCCAGAAGCACUCUGCGACUUUGGCUCCAGCGUCAACAUUAUACCCAGGGUACUCUAUGAAAAAUUCUUUACAUAUCCUUUAUUAGAAACAACCAUGUGUUUGCAGUUUGCAGAUCAGACGAUAAGUUUUCCAAAAGGAAUAUUGAAGAACCUUUGUGUCCGAGUUGGUACCUUGUAUGCCCCAGCAGACUUCGUAGUGGUAGAGACCGGUAAUGAUGAGAGAGCACCUAUUAUCUUAGGGAGGCCAUUCUUGAACACCUCGGGAGCUGUCAUCUACGCUAGUGCUGCCAAGAUCAGUUUCUACAUCAAAGGGAGGAAGGAGACAUUUUUCUUCAAGAACAAGACUACACAAAUCCCAGAUCAAUCGAGACGUGAAUCACGGAAGAGGACCAACAGGAGGAACAGGAACAAGCAAGUGUGGACCGAGUCAGCGAAGAUGGCCACUGCAGUUCAUGGAGGCCAAGAUCAUCAACUUAAGUCACCAUUUUUGACCAAGAAGGAUGACCCAGGAAUGCCAAGCAUCUACUGCUCCAUAAAUGGAUACAACUUCUACAAGACGUUUUGCGACACUGGAUCGGGCGUCAACAUAAUGGCAGCAGUCACCUAUCAGCUCUUGUUCGGAACCAUGCCACUAAGACCAACAUACAUUCAGCUCCAGAUGGCAGAUCAGACUUUUCGAGAAGUUAAAGGAACAGUAACUGGUGUCCCAGUCAAAAUAGACGAUCAUUUUGUCUACACAGACUUUCAGGUUAUUGACAUGGGAGAAGAUGAGUAUGAUCCACCCAUCAUCCUUGGAAGACCGUUCCUCAGCACCGUUAAAGCAAUCAUCUACAUUGGAACCGGAGAAGUCCAUAUGCACUUCCCCUCAGAGAAGGUACGCUGUUAUUUUAUUGACCCUAACUAUAUCGUUGAAGAAUCUAAGCAGGUGAGAAAACGACGCAACUGCAACCAGAGGAGGCAAAUCAUCAAGGACGGAUGGGCAGACUAUGAAGGAGAAGUUGUAAGGUCAGAAGACGUACAGUUUAAACAGAAUUAUCUAGAGGAGACCUAGCACCGAGUCAGGUAUGGAAAGAGAAGAUAACUAUAUAUGAAGAGGAGGCGCCGCCGGAAGUACCGACUACGCCACCCAACGAAUCCCAGGACAAUUGAGAAAGAGGAGAGUCCCGUUCGGAGGACUUAAAAACACCGAAAGCCUUGCCAAGAGGUAAACUUGGUAGUUAUCAUUUCCCUUUCAAUUAUUUAAAAUAAUUUACUUAAUUAGUUAUAUUCAUGCUAUCCUAAAAAUAAAAUAAAAAUGUUAAAAAACAGUAAGCCCCAUGUGAGUAUACGAGUGGCAUAAAACCCAUAAGUACAUUCACUGUGGUGGCAUAAAAAUAAAAUAAAUAUUUCUUUUCUACUUUAUAAAAUGAAAAUAUAAAAAUUGAGAGCAACAAUUAUUAAGGAGUCUCAACAUGAUAAAGGCUAGAUAUUUAUGCUAACACUUAAUCAGUUCCACAAGCUUUGUUGUCUAUUUGAGCUCCACAGAAUUUAAGAAUCGAGAAGACUAGCAGACGGAGGACAUUCUAAUCGCUGUCAGAAUGCUGCUGACAUUCAAAUACACCUCUGCCACCUGCUAGCUACAUCAAGAGAAAUUACGUAAAAUUCAGCUUGGGGGAGAGCACCCCCUAUUUAUCCCGAUAAGUAUUUCUAUCUAUCUAUCUUUAUACUUAUAAAAUAUAAUUAUGAAAAACCAAAUAAAGAUUGUAUGCUUAUAUAUCUUUUGCUUAGUAUGUUUAAUAAAUACAUAAAGUAGCUAUGCUAAUCUGUAUCUUAAUAAUAAAACUCAAGCAUGGAUAUGAUGAAUAGUUGCUCUGCCUAAUUUGCACAUUUUAAGUUCUCUCUCAAGUUUAGAUAUAACUGUUAUAAUUUAAAGCUUGCUCUAGACCUAAACUUGUGGGAUGAAAACUUGAUCUGAAGUCUAAGUUGUUAACGGAUAUGAUAUGGGAAGGUUGAGCUGUUGUUUAUCUGUUCCUAGAGAUGCUAGAAUUCUGGAGAAUUUUAUCUUUGAAAAUCUUUCAAAUAUUGCAUGAUGAAUUCCUGUAUGAUGAGAGUUUAAAUUCCUACCACAGCCAUAUAUACAUGCUUGCUAGACUUUGAGCCACACAUUUACUAUUUACGACUUAUGAGCAUUGAGUGUGGUCAAGCUGUGUAGACCCUUAGGAGCUUGUCAUGUGGUUAAAUCAAGAUUCACUUGCACGUUCACUCACACAUGCUACUUCUACUCCGGAAGUACCAUCCACAUAUAUCCACCCAUUUCCAUCUCCAGAACCACCUAAAAAUAUUCUACUCCUAAUCCGAGAGAGAAUAACCAAAAAUAUUUCUGUUUUUCCCUGUGAAAUAAAUGCUUAAGUUAUCUUGUUACUACCCCUUGCUAUAUUAUCUCAAGAGAUGAGUGCUCUAAAAAAAGAGAUACGAGGAAAUAAAAAGGGGCAAGUGCCCGGAACCUCGAAAGAAAAGAAAAAGUGAGACGAGAGGUAAAAAUGGACAAGUGUCCGACAGUAGAAUUAGGGGUACAAGAUACCCACCUGAGAGAAAAGAAAAAGAAGAGCAUCUCAUUCUCCUCAAAAUUUCAGAAAGCAAGGAAGGUAUGUAUCCCCUCAAAAGAGCAAAAGUAGAAUUAGACUUUCACCAUUGUUAUCACUAUUAUCACCAUACACCAUUCAUUCGCCACACAUGCACAUCUUGAUUAAACUUAUUGACUUGUUUCUUUGGUUCCAUGGUUUGACUAUACAAUACAUGUCUUGUAAGUAUGUAUACUUUAUCUCCCACCUAUAAGCUCCAGAUAUUAAAGCCUUAUUAGAGUAGGGUGAGAGAGAAGACAAUGUCACUAUGCUUUAUACCAUAAAUACCACAUAUUUUGAGAGAAGGCAUAUACCAUCACUGCCUUGGUAAGGAUCCAGAAAUACCACAAAAGAGAGAUCUGAGAGAAUCACACAAGGAAUCUCUGAGUUUUAUUUGAAAAUCUGCAAAAACUCUAGAGCUAUAUCUGAUCAAGAAUAAGAGACAUGGCACUUGGCUAAACUGUUCUAUCUUUUAACUACUCAAGACAGAAGUGACAGUUACAAGUCCCAUGGUGAAGGUAAAGUAAGUAGGUUUUAAGUCUUGACAGUUUACUCUAACUUAGAGAUGAGAUCUUAUUUAAAAGCAUGUGUACCGUCAAUUUUUAAAGAUAUUGCAACAACUUCUAAUCCAUCGCUGAGUCUAUCCUUGCUCAUGGACGAGCAAGAGGUAAGCUUGGGGGAGUUUGUUGACGGUCCUUAAGUAUCAAAUUUAAUUAUCAAAUAAAUAAAGAAAAGGAUCCAAAUGAAAUCAACAUCUAGACUUAGGGUUUUAUCUGAUAGAACUCCACGAGUUUUGGUGUUUGUCUAUUUCUGCAGGGGGUUAUCAGGAGAUACAGAAGAAAGGCCCACACGUCGGGAUUACAUAGAGAUAUUAACGUGCCGCGCAAUUAUCUUACAUCUAGAAGACUCCAGAAGGCACGGGAAGAAAGCGGAGGCCGAACGGGGCCAGAGGCAGGGCGCCCGCCCUCCUGCCCUGGGCGCCCGCCCCUCUCUGAGUCCAAUCAGGACUCUGUUUCUCGGGAGAUCUCCACCGACCUAAAGGAUCAAGGAUAACCGUUCAAUCAAUGUCGGUUUGAUCCAACGACCCAUAUUCACUUGAAGGGACUAUAAAACCAGACCCCCUGGCCCCUGGAGGAGGGAGCCUCUCAACCCUAAUUCAUUAUUCCUCAAGGGAGAAGAAGCCUCUGAUCAAGAUUAGAGCCACCACAUCAAUUAGACAUCUAGAUUAGCAUAGCGACAUAGGAUUAGAACUAGAAGGAGUCAAUCUUCGAUUGGUUUCCGGAUCUAUCAAGAGGAUUCUUGGUAAUUCUCUAAUUGUGCUUCUAAUUGUGCUUCUAAUCAUCUUUGUUCUUCAAUAUUAUGAAUAUGACUUUGUUCUACUUCAAUAUAUUGCUUAUGACUUUGCUCUACUUGUUUAUAUUCAAGAUUAUAUUGUUCUUAGUUUAUCAUAGUUAUGUACUUGGCUUAGUUAGAUUAGAUCUAUAUACAUGCUUAGGAUCGUAUAGCGUUUAUCUAUCGGAUCCAUGGGUAAAUGAUAGAUAUUGUGUAGGCGUGGUGCUUAUACCGUAUUUAUCUGCGAUUGUACCCAAUAUGCCAGAUCGUGGGGUAGUUCGUGAUAGUGACAGCUUCAUUGAUUCUUAUAUAGUCCCCCUCUCGUGUAUUGGGCUGGCAGAGCAAUAUUAUUACAGGGGAGUGAUUGCUAUGUUUCUCAUAUUCCUUGCUAAUAUCACUAUGCAUGGGCGUAGUCUUGUCUCGCAAUGAUUGCUAAGUAUGCUUGCACUAACUAUGAUAAUGCUAGACUAUAUAGUUGAGAAUAACUUAGGGAAUAUUCUUGUAGUUCGUUCUAAUUCCAUGCUAAUGACUUUCUAGAGUAUCUAAUUGAGGUGCUUAUCAUAUUUAUAUGUGGCUGAUCAGAUUAAUUAUCUUUGUCACUAUUUAUUACUUCAUAUAUCUUUUAUGUGACACUUACCCCUGUAUGUAAGAGUUAGAUAAAUGUUCUCAAUUAUACAUGCAAUGAUAGAUACUCAAUCUCAUAUUCUAUUCUAUAAUCAAUAUUGAUGAUUGUUAAUCCCUUCCAAGUGGUAAAAAUAUAAAUAACGAUACCUGGAAUACUUCCUGGUUAAAAUGCUACAUCGGUAUUAAUCGGUGCGCUUGCAGAUCCCAUUCAUUAUUUAUUUAGAAGAGCAAUUGCAUAUUUCAAUACCGCGUCUCUCAUGUCAUGCUGGGGAUGACAACUUGGCUUAAGUGAUGUGAGGGAUUGGUUUGGCAUUUUUGGCACCAUUACUAGAUUUAGAGAACUUAGUCUACUUUUGGUAACGAUGUUAAGAAUACCCAACAGAUACCUCCUGGGUUGGCCUGACCAUGAGGAAGGGCUCGCGGCGGGUGGGGUGGCUGGAUUUGGAGAAGAAGAGGGACUCCGGGUGACUGGAGAGGUGAGAAAACUCUCCUAGGCGUGCGUUGGGUUCGCAAGGGGGUGGCAGAGAUGAGGGUGGAUUCAAUUUGGCCGGAGAGGGAGCGAGUGGGGUGUAUUUCGCAAGGGAUGGUCGUCGGCGUUCUCUUACUUUGGGACGGUGAAAAAUGCGACGCCGUCCACGCUGGUGCUCAAGGGAGGAGGGAAACGAGUCCUGGGCGUCCACAUAGCUUGGUGACGCAGGUAGGUAAGCAGUUGCGUGCUCGCACGUGUGCACGCAGUGGCGUUCGCAGCUGCGGACGGUGGCAGGGGCGCUCGUGACCCAUCGGAUCAUUGUAGCCAAGCCUAUCCUCCCCCUUUCUGUCCUUUUGCAAAAUACUCCCAAAAUUUGAACAGAAGUCAAAUUUCUGCCAAAACAAAAGUUGUUCAGAAUUUUGGAUGCUACAAAACAUCUUUAAGGGUCCAGUGCUGAUUUUGAGUGGAAGGGCACGAGUUUGAGGAAAACAGUUUGAAAUUCAAAAUUCUAUUUGGGGGGGGGAGAUUUCAAUUUGAAUUGGGACAGAAUAGAAAUUCCAAAAUUACUUUUGAUUUUUCUUAAUAACUUGAAAAAUUCCCGAAAUAAAAGUUGUUCAUUUUGAUAAGCUCUACAACUUUCAUUUUGAUCACUUUUAAAGAUUCCAAAUAGAUUUUGAAUUAGGAAUUCAAAUUGGAAAAGGGAACAAUUUCUGGAAAAUCUGUAUUUUCAAAAUUACUUUGAAUUUUGUAUUGAAACUUCAAAAACUCAAAACACCAAAGUUGUACAUCUUGUCAAGAUCUACACUUUUCUUUUGAACUCAUCCCCAAAUUUUGCUUAGUUUUUAAGUUGCACAAAAGGCGGUAAAAACUAGGGUUUUAAAAUUAGGGUUUUCUCCCACCUUUCCUCGGAACCCUCCAACACUAAGGAUAAUGCAGUCACACAAGCAUCAUUUCACAACAUAAGCACACUUUAGUUCCCUAAGCACAAGCAACCAAAUUAAACUUGUUUUAAGUUGAUGCAUCAGGAUGUGCUCAACAAAUAUGCUAUGUAAUGCUUAUGAUGACAUGAUCCAGUUUUAGUGUCCAUAACAUCAGAGAUGUUACAGCCCUUCCCCCUUAAAGAAAUCUCGUCCCAAGAUUUAAAGCCUUAGGGUAAGUAAUGGAAAAGGAAAUGUGUCAAGCUAAUUUAUCAUUAGCUUUUUCAUAAGACAAGCGGUUGGGGAAGAACAUCUCAUUAUAAACAUAUACGUACAUUAGGUACAUGCCUUCAGUCACACCUUUAACCACCGUAGAGUACACUCCUUUUUAUUAGCUAUUAUUUUAAAGAGAAGUGUGAAAAUUAGGAAAAUUCUCCAUUAGAUAGUCUUUGGAUUCCCAUGUGGCUUCUUCCCCAGAGUGCUAACUCCAUUGCACCUUGUACCACUUGGUAGUUGUUUUUCAGGUAACUCUAACUUUUUGGUCCAGUACUUGGAUGGGAUAUUCUGCAUAAGUCAGAUCCGAUUCAAGUUCCACAUCUUCAAAAUCUUGGACCCGGUCCGGUACUCGAAGAUACUUUUUUAAUUGGGAUACAUGAAACACAUUGUGUACCCCGGAUAAUCAUUCGGGCAAUAUAAGGCGGUAAGCUACCUGACCACACCGGUCGAUGAUUGGAAAUGGACCAAUGUAGCGAGGUGCUAACUUGCCUUUAACCCCAAAAUGAUUUACUCCUAUCAUUGGGGAUACCUUUAAAUACACAUGGUCACCCUUAGUAAGUCUUAAGGGUCGACGUUGUUGGCAUUUCUUAGCGUCACUACUAAAGAUAAACUAUAAAUCCAUCCUUAGCAACGGCACCAGAAAUGUCGGGAUUGACAUUCCUAACCACCAUUACGUUAGAAAGGUAACUCUCGGUCCGUACGACUCCGACGUAAGUAAUGCAAUCUGGUACUGAUGAUUAGAACUGCCAGAUCGGCCUUCCUAACCAUCCUUACUUGCGAUAUGCAAUACUGUAGCGCGGCACCGUUGGGGCGUACACAAGGAUUACAAUCUUAAGUAACGGUACUUAGGUACACCAAUCGAUAGUUCAAUAAGGAUAAAUCCGCAAGCGCACGGAACUAUCAUUGUAGCAUUUCAACCCGUGAGUGGGUAUCGUUAUUUAUAAUUCCCGUAGGAAGGCAGGACGAAUGCAUCUAGCUUUGGUAUAAACAUGAUUACUUUUUGAAUGCAUAGGUAAACAUAGCAUAGACAGGGGUAAAUCAUAGUUUAAGGAUAGUGGACACACAUUUGAGCCAACCUCAAGGAUAAAAGAUAAAAUAAAGAAAAGAAUAUAUCUAACUGAGCAGGCAUUGGUCGUAUAUAGCUAUGCAAAGAACUGUUAGUAAACAUCUAACUAGCAUGUCUAGCAUCAGAACCAAGUCUGGGAUGACAGGGAGAUCUCUGCAGCUGGACAUCCCAACCGAUAGAGACUUUACAGAACUCCUACCGGAAUACCUGAUCGUGGGGGAUUACAAAGGAUGGACAGGGCUGUCACUACCCUGCCACAUACCCCUUUGCCCGAAAGAUACAAGAGCAUUGUGUGUGGCCUAAAGGGUAGUAGCAAUAGAUUGGGUUAGUCAGAUUCACGCUUUCUCCUAGUGGGUUAGUCAGAUGCACGCUUUCUCCCAGUGGUAAAAAUAUAAAUAGAUUUGGUUCGGUGUUUUGGUGGGCUUUUCCGUUUUAUCUUGAUUUGCGCCUUUUCUGAAUACGCUUUCUCGUGUCUUUUGCACCUUUCCAUGUGUGAUUCCUAAAAUUGACGUUCACAACAAAACUUGUGGAAAGGUUAGUUAAAAGCCCUACCAUCUAUUUAUAUUUUAAUUAUUAAAAUGAUGUUUAUAAUUAUAGGAUAAGGGGAACCAACAACUCCCCCACACUUGGUCCUUUGCUCGUCCUCGAGUGAAGGCACUAAGGACCAAAUGGGUUCAUCUUCCUUGUCAAAAGAGUCUGCAUACAGGUUAUUCCAAGCUUCACCUGGAUUUAUGAACUUCAAAGUGUCUACCAAGCUAUCUUGGGUAAUUGAAACAUGGAACAGCCUGGAUUCAAAUCCUCUUACACAGUCCCUGCGUAGAAACUUGGGGUUUUGCAUGAUUUUGAAAAAGAAAGAUAGCAUAUGUUUCUUUGAAUGAUGCUCUCAAGUCGCUCAUAUAUGUGAGUGGUUCCUUACCAAGGCAUAGAGGGUUGAUGCCUUCUUUUUGAUCAUCCUACCUCUAAAAGGCUUAUCUAGAGUUUUGGGUAGGUAUGACAGUAGUGGAACUUACUUACCCUGCAUAUGUUGUCGAGUCAAACCCAGGACCAUACCGGAGGGAGUGCGUCAUACCCUUAGAUCACAAUGUGCAAGUGUGUGGAAUUUUUGGUGGAAACCUAUCACUACUUUAUUUUUUUGGGGCACUCCUUGCAUCAUGACUCUCUUUUGAAUGUGACAGAAAACUUUGAAGGACAUGGGCUAUAAUAUAACAAUAUUUUUUUUGAAUGGGUAUGAAUCUUUUCCUGUUUGCCUUUGCCUUUUUCUCAUCUCUAUAUUUUUUUACUAUAGCCCAUUCCUCUGCUUCUGGCAAAAAUGAAAGAGAGCUUUAUUAUAACAAAUGCAAGGAAUGUAACUGAAUGCGCAAUUCUCAAGGUGAGAUAUUGACAUUUUUGUUUGGUGGAUAUAUGGGCGCAACUCUCAAUGUAAGAGUUGGCGUAUUUUUGGGUGGAUGGAAAAAACAUGUUGUGCACGACUUCUCAGUGUGAGAGUCGGCUUUAUUUGGUUGGUGCAAGUGAAUUCUCAUCUUGGAGGCAUGAAAUAUCUCUCGAAAGCGGUCCAAAAAUUUGACCAAACUCAACACAGAGUAAGCAGCAUAUGUAGAAGGUUUCAUCAUGAAGAGUAAAUAUUUGGCCAUGGUAGGAAUAAAGCUUGAUCAUUCAAGAAACGUGCCAUUGAAUUUUGUUUUUUUUUGUAAAAGGAAUCCCAAGUACUUUGCAAGAACUAGCAAGCAUCAUGUCAUCUUACUAUAUCACAUACGUCAAUUACUUAGAUAAAAUGGGGUCCCUAUAAACGAUGUUCAUAAACCUUUAGGGAUAUUAGCUAAGAAUAAAAAGUAUACAAAAACUUAUUUGAACAUAGGAGACAUGUUUGAUGGAGUAUGAAGGGUACAUCAUUUAAACUUUUUCUUCCUUCCACCACACUUGUUUUCUUUCCUGUCUUGGUUAGUCACGAAAAUAUAUCGAGAAAACAAGUGCACAAGAUAAACAAAGAUUUUAUUUAUUUAUUUAUUGAUAAGCAAGGGUACAGUUGUACAAACCAGCGUUGAAGAUGAAGGCCUUGAUGGAAGUCAUUUAUCUUGUCCUUCUGCGUGAUGAGCUCGAUGUUUGUGAAACGUGUUGGGGAGAUCUCAAGUUUGUUUUGAGUUAUGCUUGAGAGAUCUACCCCACACUUACUUUUGUACCUGUUUUAAGUAUAACAAAGAAAACAAAACAAAACGCUACAACAGGCAAGAGACUUAUUGGUUAAAAGGUCAAGGAAACAAAAAUUAAAAAAUCUAUAUUUUUUUGAAACUAGCUCAACCAACCUUUAGAGUUUAAACAAGGCUUAGGAUAAAUGAAGCAAUGGAAACAAAGCCAAGAUUUAUCUCAAGAUCAGAUUACUACCAUUGUUUAUGAAAACACUCAAAUUUAAUUAAUCAAAUUUCAACACCAUGUCAAAACUUAAUUAAAGAAGGCAAUUUCAACCUAAGCACCUGCUUAAUUUGAAAAGGCCUAUGAAUGUACUACAUGAGUGCUCAAGUAGGUACACCCAAACUUAGAGUAAAAGUCAUAAACAGGGAAGCGAGAAUUUGAAUGAUCAUGUAGGGACAAAUAUGAGCUAAAGUGUUGGUGAACAUUUAUUACCUUUUACAUACGUGAGUGCUCUUACUGGCAGCAUAGGUGGAUUUCUUUGAAGAUGCUGUACCGGUGGCGUGGUUGUGCCUGCUCCCACUCACGUGAACCAUCAGGUCGGAUCGAUCACACACAACUAGUGUAUGUGGACCUUCGGCCUUAUUGGUAGCAACAAGGUGUAUAGGAGUAAACUCCUUUUUUUUAAUAUAUAUAUAUAUUUUUCGACGCAUCUCUUUUUUUCUCUCUUUUUUUUAACUUCGAUGCAUCUCUUUUUUUCCCUUUUUUUUAACUUUGAUGCAUCUCUUUUUUAGCAAGGCAACAUCGACUAUCAUUCAUUGUCAUGAAUGACCCUUGGUGCGAGUGGGAGUUGGGAGUCUCACCGUCUUCCCCCACACUUGAACUUUUGUAAUAAAGUCAAGUGGAUUGGGUCAGGGUCUCCUUGUGAGUGUGUCCCACUCCUCAAGAGCAACAUGGUUUGUUGUUGAUGUUGCUACAUGUUCUCAAGUUGUGUAUGACAAUUCUUGAUCUUAACCUGAAAGAGUUAGUAACAAGAAUACCCAAAGAUGCAUACUAACUUGAUAACAUGUCCUUGCAUUUAUUGAAAAGGAAAGUUAUUAUUAUUUUUUAACAUUUAUUUUAUUAUCAUUUUUUAGAUAACUACCGAUGACCUUCGGCAAGGGCUUGACAUUUAUAGUCUAUUGGCAGGACUUCCUCCUCUUCAUUGCUCUACAGCUGCAUGAACAAACUUGGGAGAAACCUUGGGUUGCCCCAAGAUAUUUCCCGUAUUGUUGACAGGAAAUGAAAUAGCAAUUUGAGCAACUAGGUUUUUAUCAUUUUAUUGAAACUCAGCCGACGUUCAACAAAAUAAGACAGAGUUUCAUGCUUAGCAUUUAUAGAUUCAAACAUUCUAUCAUUGAAGGAAAGUUUUUAGCAAGAUAUGCAUUAAACUUAGGUUGCUCUAAAACGAAGCUUCUCAAGGAAAGAUGACUGAAAUCGUAAUUCGUAUUGAAGUUGGAAGAAUUACCUUGUGGGUGGUUAUGAUUGUUCCACCCAUUAUUACCUAGUUGCUGAUGUUUGGCAAAACCCGUUGUUGAUGUAGGAUGUUUCUUCCUAGGUUUCGGGACAGUUGUUCCCCAAAUGGCCAACAUCUCCACAGACUUCACACUUCAUGUGUGAGCCCAUGGUUUGGAUGGUGCCUUUGGUGAGCUUGGUGGCAUGGUCGUCCAACCUCUUUAUUCAGAGGUCUACUUUUGUAGCAAGCAAUCCCGUCUCCUUCAUGGAAUACAUGUUGUCUUGUGUUUCUCUUCCUUUUCCCCAACAUUGGUUUGCCACAAUCUUUUUGAUGAGUGUGGUGGCAUUCUCGAUGGUGAGGGAGAGGAAUGCCCCUCCAACUGUGGCGUUAAGGUGCUCCAUUGAUAUGGUUGUCAGGCCCUCAUAAAAGUUCUGGAGCACAAGCCAAUCUUCCAUUCCAUGGUGCGGACAGGCUCGGACAAGGUCCUGCAGCCUUUCCCAUGCUUCAGGGAUGGACUCGAGUGAUGUUUGCUGGAAGUUGGAUAUCUCCCUCCUUAGAGCACUAGUUUUGCUUAAGGGGAAGAACUUGACGAGGAACGUUGUGGAACAUUUGUCCCAUGUGUUGACAGCUUCUUUGCUCUUCUAGAACCACUUGUUGAUGGUUCUUAAGUAUCAAUUUUAAUUAUCAAAUAAACAAGAGAAAGGACCAAUAUGCAAACAACACCUAGAAUUAGGGUUUGAUCUGACAGAAUUCCACGAGUUUUGUUAUUUAUCUGUUUCUGCAGGGGGUUAUCAGGAAAUAAGGAAGAAAGGCCCACAUGUCGGGAUUUUAUAGAGAUAUCAACGCACCGCGCAAUUUUCUACCAUCUAGAAGACUCCAGAAGCCACGAGAACGAAGCGGAGGCCGAACGGGGCCUGGCCCAGGGCGCCCGCCCCCCUCUGGACUCCAAUCAGAACUCUUUUCGUGGAUCAAGCUCCACCGACCUAAAGGAUCAAGGAUAACCGUUCAAUCAAUGUCGGUUUGAUCCGACGGCUCACGUUCACUUGAGGGGACUAUAAAACCAGACCCCCUGGCCCCUGGAGGAGACAAGUUCAUCAUAGAGUUGAGAGGAGCCCUCGAAGGAAUACCUCUCCUCUAAAUAGACUUAGGGCUUAGCAACCAAUGUGAGUAGAAUUAGAUCUUCUAGUUUCUACUAGAUUGAGAGAGAUAGAGUGGAGGUGCAGAUCAGAGGAAGCCUGGCCUGUCGGUGUCUACUCCGAGGUUGUACCUACAGGAUCAAGUUCUCCUAACCCGAGGCUUGCUCCUAGGAUUCUUCAGUAUUUCAACUUCUAAAUUCUAGUAAGUUCUUGUUUUAUUGUUCUUUGUUAUAUGAGUUUACUUUAAUCUCUUCGCGUAGAGUUUAGAGUAAUCAUCUAUAGCAUAGACGUGGUGUUUGGGCUAGGAUACUCAUAGAUAUUCACUGACUAGCUAGACCGUGGUAGUAGCGAGGAACGUGACAUUUCCGAGUUACCUUUGCAAACCAUAUCUCGUUAUCAAGAAGGAUAUGGUUUAUAGGUGCGGGUUGAACAUCCUCUGUGGUGUCUAGAUUCCGUAAGCUUCCCCAAUAGAACAGUAGAUCAUCCUUACCAAGGUUAGAAAGAGAUUACAGUUGUAGUCUUCUCUAUUUAUCACUCACAUCAAUUCCUUAUUGCGUUCCCAAAUAUCAACAAGCAUUUCUAGCGUCGUUGCCGGGGAGAAAGACGGUUUGCUGAGAUAACCUUGAGUCUUUCUACUAGCUUGUAUCUAUACUUUUACCUUUUCUUAUCUUUUAUAUUCUUUAUUUUCUUUAUUCUUACCUUAUGGAAAACCAAGAUUCUAAAUCAAUCCAUGAAUCUGCAAUCCCUUUAGUAACUGACCUUUUACCAUGGGAGUCAUCACAGCCUAUCCAAACAUCCCAGUAUAGAUUAAGUUCCAGGUUGAUUGCCAUGAUUCAAAACCUAUCCUUUUCAGGAAAGGAAGACGAAAACCCUUACCUUCAUUUUAGAGAUUUUGAGCAAACAUGUGACUGUCUUCGCAAUGAAGGCAUUUCUGAUAAAACUUUACGUUGGAAGCUUUUUCCUUUUUCUUUAAGGGGAGAAGCUAGACAAUGGUACAGUCAGAAGGUAAGUCAACAACGAGGUGAAUGGGGAGUUUUACGAGCCAACUUUUGUCUAGAUUUCUAUUCCCUCGACCGUAUCGGCGACCUUAGACUCGAAGUCAUAUCUUUUAAACAAAAAGAUAAUGAAACUUUGGGAAAAUCCUAGAAAUGUUUUUCUGAUCUUUUAGAAUCUGGUCCAAACCUUAAUCUUGAAGACUCUAUUCUUUUAUUUCACUUUUUUCGAGGUCUUCAGAAAGAUCAUAAACAAAUGCUACAUACAAUGUCUAGAGGUUCUUUCUUUCACAUCCCUACUGAUGAUGCUAGAGUGAUCUUAGAUAUAAUCCUAGAAGCUGAGAUGGAUAAUACCCUUCAUAAUGAAACCCACGAAGCCGAAGUAGACACUCUGCCAAAUUCUCCAUCUACUUUAGCUAUCCCAAGUUCUGAGCCACAAAAGGAAGAAAUUCCACCACCUGACUUCAUGCUGGAUAUAGAAUCUGAUCUUUUUGCCGAUUUUGGAAACAUUUCAAACUACCAUUCUAUAGACAGAGCCCAAAACGGCCAUUUUAGCAUUUGUUUGCCAACUGAAUAUCAAUUGAGAGAGCUUAUCGCAGUCAUGAGUAGCGAAUGGUUGGAGGAAUCAGAGCUUUCCUCUGAUGUGAUCCGUUUGGACACACCCUCUAUAACUAUACGUUGUGCUUAUGAUUCUAAUCGAUUUGAUGCUCUCUAUAAUCCUAUUGUGGGGAUCAACAUCAUGUCUGAAUCUUUUGCACUGAAAUUAUUUAAAAAUUUGGUUUUAACCCCCACAACAAAAGUCAUAAAGGAAUCUUCGGGACGAUUAGUCCCCAGUCUUGGAAUUAUUAAUGUCCUACCUCUUACGGUAGAAGGCUCCAUGGUUCAUUUGAACUUCUAUAUCUUCGAUACGUGGGACUUCGACCUAUUGAUAGGACAACCUUUUAGGAGACUCCUUUAUGAAGGUCAUACUGGAAAGAUGCACAUUUCUUUUGGGAAAACUUUUAAAUUUCCAAUAACAAUUUCACACUCCUUAAAUAAUAAGGCCGAGUCAUAUCUUUUACCUGAUCCUAUGGAGGAAGUAAAGGCUGCAUCUCUAGAGCUUUUAGAUGAACCAGACUUAGAAGACGAAACUCCUUUCUUCACAGAAGAAGAGGCCGAACCUUCUGAACCUGAACCCUUAGAUGAGUUUGCAGAAACGCCUAGACCUCCCAUAGAGCUUAAAACUUUACCACCCGGUCUUAUCUAUGCUUUCCUAAACAAUAAUCCAGAGUUUCCUGUGAUCAUUAGUGAUAAACUCACUCAGGAGCAAACUCUGCGAUUAAUGACCAUUCUUGAGAAACAUCACUCAGUUUUUGGCUACUCACUCCAAGAUCUUACAGGAAUCAGUCCUAUGAUUUGUACCCAUCGUAUUCUAAAAGAUCCUUCUAUUUCACCUUCUCGAGAACCUCAACGUAGACUUAACAACACUAUGAGAGAGGUAGUUAAAAAGGAAGUUAUAAAGUUGCUGCACGCAGGGAUUAUAUAUCCUGUGCCGCAUAGUGAGUGGGUAAGCCCAGUUCAAAUUGUGCCUAAAAAGGGAGGCAUGACUGUCAUUAUGAAUGAAAAGAACGAGCUAAUUCCGCAACGCACCGUCACAGGAUGGCGGAUGUGCAUAGACUAUAGAAAACUAAACAAAGCCACAAGAAAGGAUCAUUUUCCUUUACCUUUCAUAGAUGAGAUGCUAGAGCGAUUAGCGAACCAUUCAUUCUUCUGUUUUUUAGAUGGAUAUUCAGGGUAUCACCAAAUCCCGAUGAUCAAAGCAAAACCACUUUUACAUGCCCAUAUGGAACUUAUGCUUACCGUAGAAUGUCUUUUUGGUUAUGUAAUGCACCAGCUUGUUUUCAAAGAUGCAUGAUGUCUAUAUUUUCUGAUAUGAUUGAAGAGAUUAUGGAAGUUUUCAUGGAUGAUUUCUCUGUUUAUGGAAAAUCUUUUGAUAGUUGUUUUGAAAAUUUAGACAAGGUUUUACAAAGAUGUGAAGAAAAGCACUUAGUCCUUAAUUGGGAAAAAUGUCAUUUUAUGGUUAGGGAAGGAAUAGUGCUGGGACACCUAGUAUCUGAAAGAGGUAUUGAGGUAGACAAAGCUAAAAUUGAAGUAAUUGAACAACUACCUCCACCUGUGAAUAUAAAAGGAAUUCGAAGCUUUCUUGGCCAUGCCGGUUUUUAUCGCAGAUUCAUAAAAGAUUUUUCAUUCAUUGCUAGACCACUUACUCUUUUGCUAGCCAAGGAUGCUCGUUUCAAAUUUGAUGAUGCAUGUCUAACAUCUUUCAAUUUAUUAAAGAAAGCACUCAUCUCUGCACCAAUCAUUCAACCCCCUGAUUGGUCGUUGCCUUUUGAAAUUAUGUGUGAUGCUAGUGAUUAUGUUGUGGGGGUAGUUUUGGGACAAACUAAAAAUAAGAAGCAUCAUGCAAUUACUUAUGCCCGUAAAACUUUGACAGGAGCUCAACUUAAUUAUGCAACCACUGAAAAAGAGCUUCUGGCUGUUGUCUUUGCCAUUGAUAAAUUUAGAUCUUUUUUAGUUGGAGCUAAAAUAAUUGUUUACACUGAUCAUGCUGCACUAAAAUAUUUGCUCACUAAAAAAGAUGCUAAACCUCACCUGAUUAGAUGGAUCUUAUUACUUCAAGAAUUUGACUUAGAAAUAAAAGAUAAAAAGGGAGUAGAAAAUUCUGUUGCUGAUCACUUGUCUAGAAUGUAUUUUAAGAAUCCACAGGAAACCCCCAUCGAUGAUUCACUCCGGGACGACAUGCUCUACGGGAUUAACAGGUCUGACCCCUGGUAUGUAGAUAUUAUUAAUUUUAUGGUUUUAGGGUAUGUACCACCAGGAGCAAACAAGAAGAAGCUUAUUCAAGAAAGUCGUUCACAUAUAUGGGAUGAGCCAUACCUCUUCCGAGUAUGCUCUGAUGGCUUACUUAGGAGAUGUGUGACCAUUGAGGAAGGAUGGAAGAUCAUCGACACAUGUCAUUCAUCACCAUAUGGAGGUCACUAUGGAGCAUUCCGUACACAUUUAAAGAUCUGGCAGUGUGGAUUCUACUGGCCUACAAUGUAUGAAGACACGAAGCAAUAUAUCAGAAGAUGUGGGCCAUGUCAAAGGCACGGAAACAUAAACACAAGAGAUGCCAUGCCACUCACCAACAACCUUCAGAUUGAGCUCUUUGAUGUCUGGAGAAUAGACUACAUGGGUCCAUUUCCCCCAUCAAAGAAGUGUGAGUACAUCUUGGUGGCAGUUGACUACGUCUCCAAGUGGGUAGAGGCAUUACCUUGCAAGCAUGCCGACAACAUCAGUUCAAAGAGGAUGUUUGAAGAAUUAUAUUUCCAAGAUUUGGAGUUUCCAGAGUAGUGAUAAGUGAUGGAGGAGCUCACUUCAUCGACAAACGCUUCAAGCAAUAUCUAUCAAAACAUGGAAUCCGUCACAACGUCGCUACCCCCUAUCAUCCUCACACAAGUGGCCAAGUAGAGACUUCCAACAAGCAUAUCAAGAAUAUUCUUCAGAAGACAGAGAAUGAAAUGGGAAUGGCAUGAAAAGACAAGUUACCUAAUGCACUCUGGGCGUACCAGACAGCAUACAAGACCCCAAUUGGAAUGUCUCCAUACCAAUUGGUGUACGGGAAGACUUGCCACCUACCUGUUGAACUAGAAUUCAAAGCACACUGGGCCAUAAGGAGAUGGAAUAUGGACCUAGAUGUUGCUGGAGAUCAUAGAAGAAUGCAACUAUCAGAAUGUAACACCCUAAAAAUUGCUUCUUUUUAAAUAGUUGAAUUUGAUUUUUAUAGUCAAUUUUGUGAGCAUUAAAAUAUAGGAAAAAAAUAAUAAUAAUUUUUGGGGAGUUAAAAUUUAAUAUAAGGUUAGAAACUUAUUUUGAUGCAAACAUGCUGGUGCAUUUUAUUGUGAUGAUUUUUUUAAAAAUAAAGUGUCAAAUUGCUCAAAAAUUCAAUUGGAAAAUGUAUUUGGAAAAUUUUAUUGGAAAAAGAAAAUGGCAAAAACUUUUCUUCCUCUCUCACCCACCCUCGGCCUUUCGGCCCAACUCCUCCCCCGCGCCCCCUUCUCUUCCUGGGCCGAGGCCCAGCCAGCCCGCCAGCGCGUUUUCCCCCUACACCUCUCUCUCUGCGGCUGACGGGCGGGGCCCUUCGGUCAGGUCCUUCCUCUUCCUCAGGCAACCGCCCAUGCGGUUUGGCCGUGCGCCCGCUCCCCACCUUCUUCCCCUCGCCCCGCGCCUCGUUUUCUUUUGAACGACAUCUGCCAGAGCUGCGACCCCAUCUCUCAUUUGUAGCUAUAUGUGAGGUUUGUCUUCUAAAACUCACAUAUGGUGCAUAUCUGAUUUUGUCCUUAAAAUCGGGUGUUACAAAGUGGUAUCAAAGCAAUGCUGACUGUAGGACGCAAGCCUAGUUAGAACCGGACGUUUUAGAAUGCUUCUAUCUCUGAUUACUUCUUGCUUUCACCUUAACCUUGAUAAUUGCUAACAAAAAAAUUAUGCUUACCUCUGCCCUAUUCUAUUAUAAAACUUUGUCUCUAUUAUAAAUCCAGCCUCCUUGUCUAUUUAGAUGGCUCAUAAUGAAGAGACCUUUGGCAUGAAUGGACAAAAGGACCUCGCUUCGCCACCCAUAAAAGCAUUUAACAAAGAGAAGCUUCUAGCCAUGCAAAAGCAAGUAGUGGAAGGAAUGACUCGUAAUGGGAACUCUCAGCAGUGCAUCUCAGGACCAGUGAAGAGACAAGUAGCAGUAGCUUGGAAAAAUAUGAGAACCCAUGGAGGUGUUGGUAGUAGUACAUCGGGAUAUCAAGAUCAAUGCCAUUGUUGUAGGCAUUAUGGUCUUCCUUGUCGUCAGAAUAGGUCAUCUAAAAAGGAAGUUAAGGUAACAUCAAAUGGUGUGACUAAUGAGGAUAAGAAGAGGAAGGCAAAAUCACUAGAGCUAGCAUUGGGAAGUGAACAACAUUCAAAUCCUAUGUUGUCACAUUUAGCUUUGAACUCUGGCCAUGAAAAUCCAAACCUUGGAGAUGAAGAAACUUCUCAAGCUAACCCCACUAAUCAUGAGGUAUGCAUAGAUGGAUGGACCAUCACUUAUAAAGAGUAUCAACCUCGAAGGAUCAACCAAGUUAGGAAGAAAGCUAGCCAACCAGAGACAAACCUUCAGAGUCAGCGAGCUGAUAACACAAUGAGCAAUACCUCAGUGGAAAAAGAUAUCACGAAGGAGCCAGCUAAGAAAAGUGUUAUCACUACCGACAGGAAGGACACUAUGUAAACUCUUAUCUACAGAGGAAUCAAUAGAUGCAUCAUGAAAGUAGCCACACUGAGUUUAAGAUAUAGGAAUUUGUGCCCUUGUGUAAUAAAAAAACGCUAGCAGCGAAAAUCGAGUUUGUGUGCCUUGUGAACCUUUACUGCUUGGUUGAAUUGUCUUUAUGUUUAUGUUUGAUUUGGAUAUUUGUAAUGAGUGUAAUGAUCUUGUGAGUUUCUUCACAAUUUCAUUUAGUUUAUAUGUCUAACGCAUAAGGAUUAAUAACAUAAAUAGUUGGGUUUGGGCUUUUCUCUUGUUAUCUUAUCCUGCCUUUCUAGAGUAUCUCUUCUUUAUCAGUUCAUAACUUUGAUCUGGGAUGACCGAAAAUCAUGAGAAAAUUCUGGAUGAUAUUAUACUUCAAGAUCUUUCUCUGACCUCAAGAAUCACCCCCAUAGCUAUUAUGGUAUUGGAGUUAUGAAAAUCACAAGUUGAUUCAGUGGUGCUGUCAAGAAUCUGACCAGUUUCGGUUGCUUACUGUUGGGACAAAUACAAUUAUAGAUUUUGGAAAGGUGUUCUACAGCAAAGUUUUAGAUAAGUUAUCAAGCUUUCUAACGGUAUAAGCUAUAACCCUAUUGGAUUAACAGAACAAGAGUUAUGUCCAUUUUACUGCGCUGGUGAUUUUCUUAACGCGAGGAAAUUUUAGGAUAUUUAUUUCUUCCUUGCACAUAAGUUCCUUGGGAUGUCAAAAGGUCUCAAUGCAAAAUAACUUGUCAAGAAAAAGUGCAAGCUACCUUCCUUGUGACUCCUAGUCGACCUUUCUUAAGGGGGGUAGUACCUUGAUAUCACGGGUUGAUGCAUUUUCAACUUAUCCUGAUGUGAGAGUUGUCUCUUGAGAUAUUCUAUGGAUAUGAUCAUCUCUCCUUCUCGUGUUAUUGAUGUUGGUCACUUGAUGACAGGGAGUGUAGUAUCUCAUGGAUCAGGAGCCCUAUAUGAUGCCUCUUACUGAUACGUGGGAAGAGAAUGAUGAUCCAACCUUUGAAGAAUGUUAUGAGUAUGAUGAAACUGAGUGUUAUCAAAAUAAUGAUACUCAAGAGCAAGUUGGAAGUGAAUCAAAUCAGAAUCCACAACGGCGAAAGAGAAAAAGGAAAAGCCGUAAGAAGCCUGCUCAUGGAAGUAGGGUGCUACGAGACUAUAUCAAUGGAAGACUGAGCAAUGUGGAUAGGCAUAACAUUCAUGGAGCUACCAAAGUGGUUGGUGGCUAUAUUCAAGUAGACUCAGUGCAAGUUUUUGCUCUCUUUGACCUGAGUGCUUCGCAUUCUUUCAUUUCCACCAACCUCGUAAAGACAAUCGAGAGGGUGAAGUGCCCAACGAGGAAGCCUUUGUUAAUUCAAACCCCAGUGGGAGAAAUACAAGCAGAUCAGGUGUGCUCAAAUAUCAAUCUCGUCAUAAACAAGGAAAACUUCACUGUAAACCUCAUUGUGCUAGAGUCACUUGGUAUUCCCUUGGUCCUUGGUAAUGGAUGGUUAUGUGCACACAAAGGAGUGAUCUAUGAUACCCAGUACAAAAUGCUCUUAACAGCACCGUCAGGAAAAAGAAUUGAGUAUCACGGUGGUCCACUCCUACCUGAGGAAGCAAAUGCAUAUUAAGUUCCCAUGUCUCUUGGAGUUGUAAGCUAAAAGAAAUUAGUAGUCAAGAUAGACUUUGGUUAAUUAUGAAUAAUAGUUAUUCAACGGAAAUUAUGCUCACGAGGUGUGACCUUGAGACAAGUGUUUAAGUUUGGUAUGCAAGUUGUGAAGAUGAAAGGAUUAUCAAGAUAUUUUCCUGUUUCUCUCAAAGGAUCUCAGCCUCUUCCGAAUCUCGAGGACGAGAUUCAUUUCAAGGGGGGUAGAAUUGUAACACCCUAAAAAUUGCUUCUUUUUAAAUAGUUGAAUUUGAUUUUUAUAGUCAAUUUUGUGAGCAUUAAAAUAUAGGAAAAUAAUAAUAAUAAUUUUUAGGGAGUUAAAAUUUAAUAUAAGGUUAGAAACUUAUUUUGAUGCAUACAUGCUGGUGCAUUUUAUUGUGAUGAUUGUUUUAAAAAUAAAGUGUCAAAUUGCUCAAAAAUUCAAUUGGAAAAUGUAUUUGGAAAAUUUUAUUGGAAAAAGAAAAUGGCAAAAACUUUUCUUCCUCUCUCACCCACCCUCGGACUUUCGGCCCAACUCCUCCCCCGCGCCCCCUUCUCUUCCUGGGCCGAGGCCCAGCCAGCCCGCCAAUGCCUUUUCCGCCUACACCUCUCUCUCUGCGGCUGACGGGUGGGGCCCUUCGGUCAGGUCCUUCCUCUUCCUCAGGCAACCGCCCAUGCGGUUUGGCCGUGCGCCCGCUCCCCACCUUCUUCCCCUCGCCCCGCGCCUCGUUUUCUUUUGAACGACAUCUGCCAGAGCCGCGAUCCCAUCUCUCAUUUCGCCCUCUCCCCGCUCCCUGUCCCGCUGCCGCUCACACCCAGGACUCCCAGAAAACCGUCGCCGGAACGCCGCGAUCCGCUGCGUUCAACCGGGCUAGCUGAGCCAUCUUGUUCCCCAUUCUUCACGCUGGUGAUAUCGCUAUCUCUUUCUCUUCCUCCCCGUGUGCUUUCCGCGCGUUUAGGAGCACCCCCCCGUGCUGGCCGCAAGAUCCGAGAAGUUUGAAACCCGCCGUCCAUGGUGCGGACUGCGCGGGAUCAUCCCCGGUCGUGCUAGGGCCCUAGAUGGAUUCGCCAACUUCCCCUCUUUCUCCCGGUUCAAUCCAUUUGGAAAACGGUGCUCCAUAGCUGCCGAAUGGAUUGCUCCAGCGAGCUACGCGCCGCGUCAAUGGUGGCGCCGCCGUCACCCCUCCCCCUUCCGGCCGCCAGCGCCGCCCCUCUCUCCCCUUCCCUCUUCUCGGCCGUUGGUUUCUAAUCCGAUGGCCCAGAAAGCUCCAUACCCCAUCGGGUGGAUAUUUUGCUAAAGAGUCGUUUUGAAUUUAGGAAAUAAAACCCGCAGUCCAUGGCGCUUUGCUGCAAAUACGCUUUGCUUUUGGAGAAGCGUAAAGUCUCGGUUUGAAUCAGAAUACGUUUUCAGUAUUUACAGUUUUGCCACUGAGUUUGUUUAGCUCAUAAAAUAUUCAUUUUAACUCCGAUUUGACCCGUUCAAAUUGCGUUAGGUUCGUCUUUGCGAGCUCUACAUGUUAGUAACCUUGUUUCACCAAUUUGAAACAUUUUAAUUUCGUGACUCCAUUUAAUUAAUUACUUUUCUAAAGAAAAUGUUAGAAAAUUCAUAUCUUCUCCGUUUUAGCUCCGAUUCGAUCCGUUCAAGUUGCGUUAGUUUUAUAAUUUCAUAAGCUUCGCGUUGGUACCUUUGUUAGCUAGAUUCACCACUGUUAGAUUCCCUAGUUAAUUACAAGUCCGUAGAUAGCCUUUGUAGUCCCGUUUAAUGCGUAGAUUUCGCGUCGUAACUUCGUUUUCCGUGAAUUUCCCGUUGACGUGAUCGUAGCAGCGUGUAGAUGAUUUUGGAAAACUUUUAUUUAAAUUUAUUUAUUGCUGGUGUACUGUUCUAAUUGUAAUCUUGUUUGCUUCGUGUAUGUCUGUCCCCGAUUGCUUGUGUGUUGAUGAUUGGUGACCGAGUUUAGUCAGUGGGCAUUACUUCGGUGAUCAAGAUCAGAGCCUUGGAAGCAAGUAAGAUCAGCAGGACCAGCAGGAGCAAUUGGAUCAAGGCAAGUAUAGCAUUUGGGUUUUAAUUCUAUGACUAUGAUCUUGUGACUAGAUUAAUAUAAAGCAACAAAUGAUAAUAAUGACUUUUUAGCAACUUGAGGAUUUAUUCGUAAGUGAUAACCGGGAUGAAAGUGCAACCAUGAGGGCUAUAAUGGCUCUGGCUUUAGUCAAGUAUGAGUAAUUUUUCUAGCUUGUUAGAGGUUACCCGCGUGGCGCAAAUGGGAGAUAGCAGACCGUGGAUUCCCUGCGAGUGGUAGAAUCACACGGACUGACUACCGAAACCAAGCAGCCCUAACUUGUUAGACGAACCUUUGAAAGACUUCAUAGUGAUCCCUGCCGACCUACCUUGGUAGUGGGUUACGAGGCUGAUCACCUCAGGCGAAAGGGUAAAUCAUGACUCAUGGGUAAAGAUGUACAACCUUUGCAGAGUGUUAAAAACUGGUAUACUAGCCGUGCUCACGGUCACGAGCGGUCUUGGGAACUCUUACAUUAAGGGUGAUGAAUCUUGUGUUAAGAAACUCAUUGAUUAUUGUUUAAUGCUCUAUAUUAUUUAUGUCACAUUGAUCAUGAGAUUGUGGAAUCUAUACAAUCUAGUUGUUAUACAUGCGGAGUUCGUCUUGGACUCACUCUUGCUAUCUCCCCCCACACCUCAGGAGAAGUAUUGGGCUUGUGAUCAACCAGUCAGUUGGAUCCUGUAGAGUGAGGUUAACACCCGAAGUUUGGAGUUCUCUUCCGUGGUUUGCUGCCCAAGGUUGUUUCUAAUUUAUUAUUUACGCUAUAUAAUUUAUGCAUUGUCCUUUGAUAUUAGCCCUUAUUUGUAGCUAUAUGUGAGGUUUGUCUUCUAAAACUCACAUAUGGUGCAUAUCUGAUUUUGUCGUUAAAAUCGGGUGUUACACAGAAUUGGAAGAAUGGCGAGAGAAAGCAUAUCACAAUUCGAAGAUCUACAAAGAAAGAGUCAAAAGGUGGCAUGACAAGAGAAUCAAGAAGGAGUUCACACCCGGAGAUAAGGUAUUACUUUUUAAUUCUAGGGUGAAGCUUUUCGGGCAUGGAGAACUCCGGAGUAAAUGGGAAGGACCAUUCAAGGUAAUCAAUUCAUCAUCCCACGGAGCUAUCACACUUCAAAAUGACGAAGGUACGUUAUUCAAGGUAAAUGGUCAACGUCUUAAAUUAUUUUUAGAGCCCAAUAAAGAAUUAGAAGAAAUAGACGUAAUCCAUUUUUACCUUCCCAUGGAGAAUUAGAGCCCGACACUUUUAAUCUGACGUUUUUGGGUCAUACAUAUAUUUUCCUAAUUAGUUUUGCAUCUAGAAACACGCUCGAGGAAGCGGGCCCACAGAGGGGCCAGACACAGGGCGGGCGCCCUGAUCAAGAGGGCGGGCGCCCAGCUCCUGAUCCCUCUCAGUCCCGAUUUCCUCCGUUAUGGAAAACACACUUAUGGUAAUCCAAAUAAUCCUUCAGAUGGAAUGUUUCUCACGCACAUCGACGGGAGCAACCCGAACAACCCCUAGAGGCACUUUUUGACCCCUAUAUAAAUAGACCCCUGACAUCAGUUUUCAAACACCAAUCCACCCAAGCCUUCUCUUCUUCUUCUUCAAUUAGAGCUUGUUUAGUCCCUCGCUGCUACAAUGGCCGAAGAGUUCCACGACGAUUGGGAAGUCGUUCCCUACGACCUCAACAUGAAGCCAAAGGAAGACCCCGACGCCCGUGCUCUCGUCCCGGCCAACACAGAGCGACAGCUAGAAGCCAUGCCAUUACGCCAAUGCAGCUCCGCCCAAUCCUAUCAUGCUCAACCAGUUCUCAUUGCACCGCCACAACCCCUACUUCUCAAGGGAUCAUCAUCCAAGAAGGAGACCACCAUCAAGGUGCCAACCGGCACGAGGAUCCUUCCACCGAGACCCAAUGAGAGGGUCGUUGGAGUCAAGACCAACCGGAGCGGCGAGAUCAGCAGCAUCCACUACACUACGGAGGAGGAGAGACCUUACUUUGAAGGGAUUAGAGCAGCCAAAGUCUGUUUCAUCCCUCCAAAGGUAGCCCCGAAGCAUGCUCUCAAUGCUUUUGAGACACCUCCCAAGCAUCGCAAGACUAUAGUAGAUAUUGAUGAGGACGUUCGCAGGCUAGACAGAGUUAUCAUAGACCUCCAGUCCUCGGUUAACUCCAUCACUAGGCAGCUCUCUAACCACAACACCGUUAUACUAGGCCUUAGGCAUGAUCAUGCUAGUGCCAAUAAGAAGAUCAAGGAGUUAGAGCGCCGCUAAGUUAUCUAGAUUAGACCUUGAGGCAAUGCAUCUUAAUUAUUUAUCUUUAAAUUCGGUUUAGAUUUUACUAUUAUCGUCAGUUUGCUACUAUUAUCGUCAGUUUGCUACUAGUCAUUUGUAAUAAAUGCCUCAAGAUUAAUAAACAUUAUUAUUAUUAUGUCUUGUGUGUCACUACUUUAUUUUUGUGCAAGAAAGCAGAAAACAAGUAUGGGGGAGAUCCCUUGACAUGCCAAACACACUUCGACUACACCACUCCACGAUUCAGGUACACACGCUACACACUUUACACAUACACAUAUAUAUCUUGGAUUAUGCAGAAUAUUGUUUCCGACAUGAUAAAUUAAAAAGAUUAAAAUAUUUCUAAUCAUGAUUAAACUCACUCUGUGAUAUUUCCUGAAAACUUGCAAUUAUUGAAAAAUCAUUUUAAAACCCUGUGUUACUUAAGUCAUUGUGGAAUGUGAGAUGGCAGAGUAUGAGUUUCUUAUUCUUGAUAUCAUUUUUGCUUGGAGAAUUUAUUUCAAAAUCUUCAAAAUUCUAGCUACCAUCCUCAGUGUUUUAUAUGCCUGAUAAACCUGAAAAUAUUAACAUGAUAAUUAUAAAAGCUAUCUACUCUAUAUUGAGUUUCUUCAAAAUGAGUUACACCCGUGUUGAGAGAUUUAUCAUGCUCCUAAGAUCAAGACAUCUAUUCAGAAAGAUUCACUCUUCCGAAGUAUUAUUGCGUUAGAGGCAUGGGCUAUGCAAAAAUAUGAAUAAUUCGAGGAAAUAAAAGGAGCAAGUGCUCGAUAACCUCGCAAAAAGAAAUAGACAAGUGUCCGGCACUAGAAUUAGGGGUACCUCGGUAUCCACCUGAUAAAAAAGAGAAAAAGAAAGAAAAUGAUAGCCCAUGGUCCCUCUAAUAAGCAAUAUGCCAGCAAGAGUUGACAAGUUUUUAAUUUCCAAAGUCUUUGAUCUAAGAGUAUGGCAUUCUUCUCCUCGGAUCCCGUUUUGAUCAGGCAAUAAAUGCAAAGUAAGUAUGCUUGAGAAUUUUUGCAAAUUAAAAUAGCCUCAGUGAGAUAUAUAAAAGAUAAUGAGUGACCUGAGAGAACCUAUGAGGAUAAAAGGUAUGCUAAAUUUCUUUCAAAUAUACAAAAACUCCAAGCGACAGGAUUGAGAAGAAAGGGCCUCUACUCUUGAUCAUAUAUUUCCCUGACUAAGGUACAUAGUGAAUUUUACAACACCCUGUAGAUAUGAAGAGAAUGUUUUACAAUGUUUCACCCCAGAUAUUUACCAUCCUUUUCUCGAGGACGAGUAAAAGCCUAAGUAUGGGGGAAUUUGUUGACGGUUCUUAAGUAUCAAUUUUAAUUAUCAAAUAAACAAGAGAAAGGACCAAUAUGCAAACAACACCUAGAAUUAGGGUUUGAUUUGAUAGAAUUCCACGAGUUUUGUUAUUUAUCUGUUUCUGUAGGGGGUUAUCAGGAAAUAAGGAAGAAAGGCCCACAUGUCGGGAUUACAUAGAGAUAUCAACGCACCGCGCAAUUUUCUACCAUCUAGAAGACUCCAGAAGCCACAAGAACGAAGCAGAGGCCGAACGGGGCCUGGCCCAGGGCACCCGCCCUAGGGACCAGGGCGCCCGCCCCCCUCUGGACUCCAAUCAGAACUCUUUUCGCGGAUCAAGCUCCACCGACCUAAAGGAUCAAGGAUAACCGUUCAAUCAAUGUCGGUUUGAUCCGACGGCUCACGUUCACUUGAGGGGACUAUAAAACCAGACCCCCUGGCCCCUAGAGGAGACAAGUUCAUCAUAGAGUUGAGAGGAGCCCUCGAAGGAAUACCUCUCCUCUAAAUAGACUUAGGGCUUAGCAACCUAUGUGAGUAGAAUUAGAUCUUCUAGUUUCUACUAGAUUGAGAGAGAUAGAGUGGAGGUGUAGAUCGGAGGAAGCCCGGCCUGUCGGUGUCUACUCCGAGGUUGUACCUGCAGGAUCAAGCUCUCCUAACCCGAAGCUUGCUCCUAGGAUUCUUCAGUAUUUCGACUUCUAAAUUCUGGUAAGUUCUUGUUUUAUUGUUCUUUGGUUUAUGAGUUUACUUUAAUCUCUUCGCGUAGAGUUUAGAGUAAUCAUCUCUAGCAUAGACGUGGUGUUUGGGCUAGGAUACUCAUAGAUAUUCCCUGACUAGCUAGACCGUGGUAGUAGCGAGGAACGUGACAUUUCUGAGUUACCUUUGCAAACCAUAUCUCGUUAGCAGGAAGGAUAGGGUUUAUAGGUGCGGGUUGAACAUCCUCUGUGGCGUCUAGAUUCCGUAAGCUUCCCCAAUAGAACAGUAGAUCAUCCUUACCAAGGUUAGAAAGAGAUUACGGUUGUAGUCUUCUCUAUUUAUCACUCACAUCGAGAAACAUUCUUUGUAGCCUAAAGGUUAGUAGUAAUAGACUAGGUUAGUCAGAUGCACUCUUUCUCCUAGUAGUAAAAAAAAUAAAUACGAUACUCUGGAUAACCUCCCGGGUGAAGUGCUCACCGAUAUCCGUGCGCUUGCGGAUCAAUUCUUUAUUGCGUUCCCAAAUAUCAACACCACUGUUUCACUUUCCCCACAAGGGAGAAAGGAAAUAGGCAAAACUUGAUGCUAGUUGACGCGACGUCUUUGAUGAUGAUGGCGUCGCACAACUCAAGGAAGUGUUGAAGAUGAACAUUCGCGUCCUCUUGCGGCAAGCCAUGGAACUGGCUUGCCUGUAUCAUCUUUAUGAGGCCAAUACGGAGCUUGAAGUUUCCAUUCCCAAUAUUGACAGCAGGCCCAACGGGCAUGUUGGCAAUAGCAGGGGUGGAGUAAUUGCGGAGUGACUUGGCCAUGAUGAUCGUAUCGGAUGAUGCAGGGGCGAAUGGUUUGUUUGUCGAUGGAGUAGUAGAAGAAGAAGCGGUCCGGGGCCUGUUCUUCCUUAGGAGUGUCUCCGGAUUGUUGAUGAAGUUGUUCGACAUGUCAAGCCAUUCAUACACUAUCGUGUUUUCUUUCCAAUAAAAAGAGGAAGAAAACAAGCGAAGUUAACCUGCCUAAACUAUGGCUACCAAUGCUUAUUUUGUAAUCAAUGUUUAUUGCCAAGCUAGAUGUUUUUAUUUCCUUUUGCCUUCCCCAGCAACGGCGCCAGAAAUGCUUGUUGGCAUUUCUUAGCGUCACUACUAAAGAUAAACUAUAAAUCCAUCCUUAGCAACCACCAGAAAUGUUGGGAUUGACAUUCCUAACCACCAUUACGUUAGAAAGGUAACUCUCGGUCCGUACGACUCUGGCCUAAGUAACGCUGUUGACACCGUUUUUGGGCACGUGUCCAUGAUUGGUAAAGUGUAGGUUGGCAAGAUAAGACGGCAGUGUUUUGUCUACAGGAUGAGUUGCCGAUAAGGAUGAGUUGCCAAUGAGGAUGGUUGCCGAUGGAGGAGUUGUUAAACGUGACUAAGUCCAUAGGUGUUGAUGUGUCUGUGCCGAUGGCUACGACAAGGGAGUCUGUCGAUGCUAUGGAGGGAGAGUCUGGAAAGUUGCCGAUCGGUUUGUGGAGGUGUUCCAGUUUGUCACGGGGAGAUAGUUUUAUGUUUUCCUUAGUUAUUUAGAUUGUUUUGUAUACGGAUUCUGUAUGAUUUGGAAUUCGAGUUCUAGUCGUGUCUGGUUGUAGCUCUUUGAGCAGGGUAUAAAUGUGGACCCUAGGGCUUUGUAAUCGAUCAUCUAUCAAUCAAUGAAACACACGUUUUUACUCAUAUUCCAAGCAUCUACUUUUUCGACGACUUCGUUAUACUUUUUCCUUUUCAUUACGAGUUCUUAGGAAUUCGUCAACUUAAGCUCGGCGUGUUCUCAAGUUCCGCGUGAAUACCUCUUGGCCGUGACAUCCGGGCGCAUCGCUGUUGUCGGGACCAAAGUGUUCGAGUUACCACCUUUGCCGAUAGUAAGGUCAAAUCGGCUGGCAUGCCUUAACAUUUAAAUCGGGUAUUAGCCCUUUGUGUUUGCAGAUCAGCUUUUGCACCAACACAUCUUUUGGCACGCCUGGUGGGAUAGAUUCAAGAUCAAGAUCAACAUGCUGACUUCUGAGUUUGAUCAAGAGAACGUCAUCCCCGUGACGGAAGCCAAUCUCAAGGAUGAGCAGAAGCAAGCCAUUGCUAAAGCCAUGGAGGAUUACAAGCAGCAAUGCCUGAGAUCCUUCAGUAUGAACAAGAGCGGCGAAGUGAUCCAGAAAGAUGCACUGCCGACGCCUCGGCAGGUUACUUUUGAAGCCAAUCCUGGUAAACUUCAAGAGAUGGUUGAUAGUGCUAUCAACCGUGCUUUGAUCAACCAAGCUGGUGUACUGUCCAACACGGUUUUCAACGCCGUGGCCAGAACUUUCAAGGAAGGACAAUUGCCACCAGAUUAUGUGGGCCCCUCUUAUCACCAGCCAUGGUCACCGGUGGUCACAGCUUCAUCGGCUACCACAGCCGCUGUGGGAGCACAGACUACCGUUCCUCCAAGCACGUUGGGAAUCACCAAUGCACAAUCUACGCCUAUGACAACCAAUCCGCCGGCUUCAGAUGAGCAUAUUAAGCUCACUACAGAUCUAUUGGCGUCGGCAAUGUCGGGACUGGUUCCUCCUCCCAACUGGUGGGGUUAUGGUAUGCCCCCGGAAAACUUGAAGACACCGGGCACGUCUCAGGCAACUAAUAUGAGAGGCAAGGCUCCUAUGGCAUCGGCACCUCCAAGUAUGCCGAUGAACCAGAGUCCCCAGUAUACUACAACUACUACUGCAAGACCUUACACUGGGAAUUCUCAAGUUCCAACGUUCCAGAUGCCUAACGCGUCGGCAGACUCAAUGCUGAUGCAACAGAGGUCUAUGACUCAACCAGGGUAUGUCAAUUCAAUGAUAAUGCCCCAUUAUCAGUCAUCGGUAGGACCUAUGCCGAUGAAUGCUAAUAAUGGAUGGUUUGGGCAGCAAGUCUUUCCGUAAACGCCCUAACCAAGUCAUCAGGCUACAGGGUUCCAGCAAGGACAGAUCUAUCCCAGGUUCCAGAAUCAGGGGAUCCCCAACCAGCCAAUGAAUCUCGGGCAGCAGAUUGGCGGGCAACAGCUUGGUGGUCCGCAGAUUGGGGGCCAGAUGAUUAACCCAAUGUUUCAUGCAGAUCGCGCACCACACAGACACGUGGAAGCUUACCAGCAGGUGUCGGAUCCGCAACCGCCUCAUCGGCAAGAUGCCGAUGCUUAUUGGGCCGAUAAGAUAGCUGAAAUAAUGAGAGACCAAUUCGGGAUAAAACCCAAAGUCAACACUUACUCUUAUCGGGCACCGUAUCCUCCCGCAUAUGAUUUGAUCCCGCUUCCGAAUCGGUACAAGGUACCGGAUUUUACUAAGUUUUCUGGGCAGGAUGAUAUGUCAACCAUGGAGCACGUCAACAGGUUCAUCAUUCAAUGCGGGGAAGCUGGUAACAGGGACGAGUUAAGGGUUCGCUUAUUCUCGUCAUCAUUGUCCGGAUCAGCUUUCACCUGGUUUAUAUCAUUGCCUCCCAACUCAGUAAUUACUUGGGCCGAUUUGGAGAAACAAUUCCACAAAUACUUGUUUUCUGGGGUCCAUGAGAAGAAGAUCACCGAUUUGGUCAAAUUAAGGCAAUGUAAUGAUGAAUUGGUUGAGAGUUUUGUACAGAGGAUAUGGGAAGUCAAGAACAAAUGCUAUAGUCUGGUUCUGGAUGAUCGGCAGCUAGCCGAUUUGGCUUUCCAGGGUUUGUUGCCGCACAUAAGGGACAAAUAUGCAUCUUAGGAGUUUGAAAGCUUAAGUCAUCUGGUGCAGAGAAUCUCUGAUCAAGACAUCAGGUCGUUUGAACCCAAGAAAGCAUGGAAUAAAAAGGUAUCAUUUGUGGAUGAAGCGGCAAGCUCAGACUCUGAUGAAGAACCAGUCAUCGGCUUGGCAGAGUGGGUGAAAAAUAAGAAGCCGAUGUCUUGUCCUUUUGGACAUAAAGAACCAGAGAAGUUUGCGUUUGACACCACUAAGGCCGAUAGGAUAUUUGACUUUCUACUUCAGGAAGGUCAGAUCAAGCUGUCUCCUAAUCACGUGAUCCCAUCGGCUGAAGAAUUAAAGAGGAUGAAAUAUUGCAAGUGGCACAAUGCAACUUCUCACGACACCAAUGAAUGCAAGGUUUUCUGACAGCAGCUACAAUCGGCUAUAGAGUCUGGGAGAAUCAAAUUCGACAGUUCCAAGACCCAGAAGCCGAUGAAGAUCGAUCAACAUCCUUUCCCAACGAGCAUGUUGGAUGCUAAGGGAAAGGCCAAGGUCUUGAUGUCGGAAGCAGCUGAAAGAAAUGCAUCGGUGGAUCCUCAGCAUCAGGUCACUACUGCCGAUGCCAAAGGAAAAGGCUUGAUCCAGGAGGGAGCUAACUCAGGAAGGCCUCCAUUGUGAUAACUCAUAGGAGACCUCGGGAGACUUGGCAGCAACGUGAAGAUCGGUACCGGCGCCAGCAAGAGGAUUAUCGUCGGGAAGAGGAAAGACGCCGACAGGAAUGGAAUCGGCAUAGAGAUCACUGGAAUUGCCCGUUCUUCAUUCACUGUUGGGAGGAAAAUAUCAAGCUUCCCACUGUCAGGGAUUGCCCUGAGUGCAAUGGUUAUGAUCGGUAUGAUAGAUCCGAUCGGUGCUAUCGCGAUGAUAAUCGGCGAUCUAAUGGGCCGAUUAGAGGAAGAGCGUCCGUUCACGAUCAGCUGGGGGGCAGGCUCAGCGUGCACGACAGGCUUGGCGAUCGUGUUCAAUAUUUUCCCAGGAACCAGGAAGAACUUGAAGAAAUGGCUAAUGCUCGGGUUCCCGAUGAGUUCAUAUUUUGUAGGGAUGCCAAUACUUAUCGGGUAGAGUCAAGGGAGAAUCAUCGCCCAUCGGUAAGGCAGCAGCAACUUCCUCCCUGUUGUCCGGAGGGAUUGACCAGGACUCAGAAGAGAAGAUUGUAGCGUGAAAGGCGAGAAGAGUUGAGCAAAGGGGAGAACUCUGGACAGUCUGGGAUCAGCAACGAUCAGAUCCUAAGGGGAAAGGUCCAUCGGCAGAUGUCAACAUGGUAUUUAUGUUGCCGAUGGAGUUCCUUGCACCAUCCAGUGAUGAUGAGGUGGAGUUUUCUGACCAAAUAGCUCAGUUGGCUCUGGAUCCGAUGAUGGCUAUCUUCGAGAAGCCCGCCGAUGAUGAAAGGCAACACCUCAAGGCCCUGUUUGUUAAAGGAAAAGUGGAUGGUCAGCCGAUGACCAAGAUUUUCGUUGAUGGAGCCGCUAUUAGUAUCAUGCCAUAUGCAGUGUAUCGGAAGCUUGGGAAAGGGGAUCAUGAUUUGACCAAGACCGAUAUGAUGCUUAAAGACUUUGAAGGGAAUAUGUCUCUGGUCAAGGGGGCAAUAUGUGUAGAGUUGACCAUCGGCAGCAAAACCUUGCCGACAACCUUCUUCGUGAUCAGUGGAAAGGGUGCUUACAACUUACUGUUGGGAAGAGAUUGGAUUCAUGCUAAUUGUUGCAUACCGUCUACAAUGCACCAAUGCUUGGUCCAGUGGGUAGGUGACAAGAUUGAAAUUGUCCCAGGAGAUUCUUCUUAUGUCAUCGCAUCGGCGGAGGCAGACACCUACGAAAGGACCAGGUGUAUUUCAGGAGAAAUUUGGGAAAAGGAUUUUCUCAAGGUUGCUGAUUACGAGAUUCCACCGAUCCAAGCAGUCGGUUCUGACGAAUGUUUUUAAUGGAUAGGUUCACCGAUGAUGGAAAGUUAGGCCAGGGAUUCACAUCGGCCGAUGAUCUAGUAGAAGUAGAUAUAUGUAGUGGUGAUAAGCCUAGACCCACUUUUAUUAGUGCUAAGUUAGAUUCUGAGUGUAAGCAACGGUUAACUGAUUUGUUAAAGAAAUAUAAAGAUUGCUUUGCUUGGGAUUAUACUGAGAUGCCUGGUUUGGAUCGAUCAAUUGUUGAACAUCGGUUACCUAUCAAGUCUGGAUUUCGGCCACAUCAGCAGCCGGCUCGCCGAUGCAAUCCUAAUAUUCUUCCUGACAUCAUGGCCGAAAUAACCAAACUUAUUGAAGCCAAAUUUAUUCGGCAGUGUUGGUAUGCCGAGUGGAUUUCCAAUAUUGUUCCGGUCUACAAGAAGAACGGGAAGCUUCGGGUCUACAUUGAUUUCAGGAAUCUCAAUAAAGCUACACCGAUGGAUGGAUACCCAAUGCCAGUUGCCGAUCUGCUAGUCGACAUUGCGGCCGGGCAUCGGAUUAUUAGCUUUAUGGAUGGGAAUGCAGGAUACAAUCAAAUAUUCAUGGCUGAAGAAUAUAUUCCAAAGACCGCGUUCAGUUGCCCUGGUCAUGUUGGAUUGUUUGAAUGGAUAGUCAUGACCUUUGGCUUAAAGAAUGCUGGUGCUACUUAUCAAAGGGCCAUGAAUUUUAUAUUUCAUGAGUUCAUCGGCAAGCUGGUGGAGAUUUAUAUUGAUGAUGUGGUGGUUAAGUCUGGAGAUUUCACAAAGCAUCUUGCCGGUUUGCGAAAGGUAUUGGAAUGCACAAGGAAGCAUGGUUUGAAAAUGAAUCUCAAUAAGUGUGCAUUUGGUGUAUCGGCAGGACAAUUUCUUGGUUUCAUGGUGCACCAAAGGGGGAUUGAAAUCAGUCGAAGAUCUAUUGAUGCCAUCAAUAAGAUAGUGGCCCCUACCAGCAAGACCGAGCUCCAGUCCUUGAUCGGCAAGGCAAAUUUUAUCAGAAGGUUUAUAUCUAAUUUGUCUGGUAAAAUUCGUGCUUUCAGUCCUCUUCUUAGGCUAAAGGCCGAUCAAGAGUUUGUUUGGGGGAAGGAACAGCAGUUGGCUCUAGAUGAAAUCAAGAGUUAUUUAGUGAAUCCUCCAGUUCUAAUUCCACCUCAGCAAGGGAAGCCCUUCAGAUUGUAUCUGUCUACCGAUGGGAUGGUCAUCGGUUCGUCUUUAAUUCAAGAGUUUGAAGGGAAGGAGCGUGUAAUUUAUUACUUAAGCAGGAGGUUGAUUGAUGCUGAGACCAGGUAUUCGGCUAUUGAGAAACUGUGCUUGUGCUUAUAUUUCUCUUGUAUCAAGUUAAGACACUACUUGCUAUCGGCCGAGUGCACUGUUAUUUGCAAGGAUGAUGUAGUCCGGUACAUGCUGUCCAUGCCGAUUAUGAGUGGCAGGAUCGGUAAGUGGAUUCUGGCACUGUCGGAGUUCGAUCUGCGUUAUGAAUCUGCUAAAGCAGUUAAGGGGCAGAUUAUGGCCGAUUUGGUAACUCAACAUUGCGGUGCAGUGGAAGCCUUGGAAAUUGUACCUUGGACGCUGUUCUUUGAUGGAUCCACAUGUGACCGGGGGGCAGGAAUCGGUAUAGUAUUAAUUUCCCCUCGGGGAAGGAAGUAUGAGUUUUCCUUGCCGAUUGUUGCUACGUCGACGAAUAAUCAGGCUGAGUAUCAAGCUUUAAUAAAGGGAUUGGAAUUGUUAAGGGAAGUUCAUGCUGAUGUUGUUGAGGUCUUCAGAGAUUCUAUGUUGGUUAUAAAUCAAUUGGCUGGAAGUUAUGAAUGCCGAAGUGAAGUUCUCAUAACUUAUUACGAGCGGAGUAUACAAUUGUUGAAAGAAUUCAAGGAUUUCCGAUUAGAGUAUAUUCCUCGAUUGCAUAAUGAAGAGGCCAAUCGGUUGGCUCAGCAUGCCUCGGGAUAUCAGCCUAUGAUUAAUGCUAUAUCGGCGUUUGGUGCCGAUGAUUGGAGAAAAGAAAUCGUUGAUUAUUUGAAAGAUUCAUCUAAGAAAGUGGAAAGGCGAGUUCGGUUUCAAGCCACUAAGUAUGUGCUCCUUGAAGAUGAAUUGUACUACUGAACUAUUGAUGGGAUUCUUCUUCGAUGCUUGGGUGAUGAUCAAGCUAGAAGUUUGAUGGGAGAAAUCCAUGAAGGGGUAUGUGGAGCGCAUCAGUCGGCUUUUAAGAUGAAGUGGACGAAUAGGAGGAAUGGAUAUUACUGGCCGACUAUACUUGAGGAUUGCUUUAAAUAUUUCAAAGGGUGUCAAUGAUGUCAAAAGUUUGGUAAUAUUCAAAGGGCGCCUGCAUCGGCUAUGAAUCCUAUUAUAAAGCCUUGGCCGUUCCGAGGAUGGGCUAUUGAUUUGAUCGGCCAGAUUUAUCCACCAUCUAGCAAGGGGCAUAAGUUUAUUCUAGUUGCCACCGAUUAUUUCACUAAAUGGGUUGAAGUUAUUCCUUUGAAGAAGGUCACAUCGGCCAAUAUGAUUGAUUUUGUGAAAGAGCAUAUCAUUUACCGAUUUGGGAUUCCUCAAACAAUUACUACCGAUCAGGGCACUAUGUUCACAUCAGGGGAGUUUGAUGAAUUCGCAAUCGGUAUGGGGAUUAAGGUGUUAAACUCUUCUCCUUACUAUGCUCAAGCUAAUGGGCAGGCCGAGGCGUCUAACAAAGGAAUUAUCAAGCUUAUCAAACGAAAAAUUGAAGAAAAUCCUAAGCGGUGGCACACAUUGUUAAAUGAAGCUUUAUGGUCCUAUCGAAUGGCUUGUCAUGGGUCAACCAAGGUUUCGCCUUAUCAGUUGGUGUAUGGACAUGACGCAGUGUUGCCUUGGGAGAUUAAGGCUGGAUCUAGGCGACUAUCUUUUCAAGAUCAAUUGGCUGCUGAUGAUUAUGCCAUCAUUAUGACCGAUGAGUUAGAUGAUCUAGCAGGACAUCGGUUAAAGGCUUUAAUGAGUAUAGAAGAAAAUAAGAAGAGAGUUGCUAGAUGGUAUGACAAGAAAGUGAAGGCUAAGGAGUUUGCUGAUGGAGACUUGGUAUGAAAAUUAAUUUUACCGAUCGGGACUAAAAGUUCGAAGUUCGGAAAAUGGUCUCCCAAUUGGGAGGGUCCCUAUCGGAUAAGUCGAUCGGCUCCUGGUAAUGCCUACAUUUUAGAAACUCUCGAAGGAGUUGAAUUUCCCAGAGCAUUAAAUAGCAAAUAUUUAAAGAAGUACUACCCCAGCAUAUGGGUCGAUGCAUAAAAGUUUAAAUGCCGAUAACACUCCUAUCGGCUGGAUUGAAAUAUGUUUGAGGCUGGACUUAGUGUCUAAAAGGAUGCCGAUAACAAUCCUAUCGGCUAGAUUAAACAUCAAGAAAGCUAGAAAGCAGGAAGAGGCGGGUGUGUUGCCGAUGAAGAGCUCAUAUGUUUAGCAGCGCUUGGAUGGCCGAUAUAGCAUGUAGGCGGAUUUGGUUGGCUGCUUCGAUCUAUUUGAUGUCUUCAUCGGUAGAGCCUUCUAUCGGCUUCAACUUCUUCUUCAACUGCAGUGCUUUGCGACCAUGGGCAUUUCGCUCUUGCUCGAGGAGCUUGAUGGUCUCUGGCAGUUGACUCUCUUUCUGUUGUGCUUGGGAUAGGGAAUCCUCCACUUGCUUGAGUUCUGCCAACAGGGCUUCUCUUUUUGCCGAUAAAUCGGAGAUCUUUUGCUUCAGUGCGUCUCCUGAAGACUUCAAGGUGCCGAUGUUCUUGUGCUUCUCAUCGGUCAGGAGCUUCUCUUUCAUCAUCUCCUCAGAAAGCCAAGUUUGAGCAGCUCUAUCGGCAAGGCGCCGGGCGGCCCUCUGGUACUGCAGUUGACGACUCUCCAGAUGUGCGGCCUGGAAGAGGAUUUCUUCAGCAUCGGCAGGAAUCUGGCCUCUGAGGGUCUUGAACAGAACCUUGGCUGGGUCAGAGUCAUCGACCAGUUGAGCCGUGUCUUGAUGGAGGAGAGCCGAUAGUUCUUCCUGCUUAGCCCUGAUCUCUGCCGAUGCGAUCCCAACUGCCCGGGAGGAACUUGCUUCCUCACCUUCGUCUUCGGAGAUAUCAAUGGCAAAGGAGAAUAGGCUAUCGGGAGAAUCCUGUUCCUAAAAAGGAAAACAAAGUGAGUUAUUCUAUGGUCAGAACAUCGGCAAUUAAUACUGAUGGAUGUUGGAUGGCUUACUUGCUUCAAGGCAAUCUCUCGCCUCUGACUGGAAGAUGCCGAUGGAGCCACGGAUUGAUCGGCCAGAGUUGCCGAUGGAACUACGUCAGCUGAAAAUUAACAGAAGGGGUUAUAAGGCCGAAAAAGAAUAAGUUCAUCGGCAGUAAUGUUAUAAAAAUGUGUUACCUUGAGGAGGGACGAUGCUUGUCUGGAUUGAAGAAACUACCGAUGAUAUGAUUGAACCUGCCGGAUCGGUAGUGUGCUCGCCUACAUCGGCUGAUGUGUCUUCUGGCUGGGGUGCUUCUAAUUGAGGUUCUUCUUGCUGGGGCUCUUCCGCUUGUGGUGCUUCUUGCGGUUGAGGGGGAGAUGGUACUUGCUGAGUCUCUAUUUCUGGGGGAGAAGGAGAGGAUUCCACCGGAAUGGGAGAUACCGGAGGAGGAGGAGGAGUUGCCACUUUCUGGCGCUUUGUUUGUGCCCUGGUACUUUUGACACCUUUUCUCUUCUACUGGCUGGACUGGGGGGCAUCAGCACCUUUGAUUUUGGUUCUUGCCGAUGUGCUGGUUUGCUGUUACAGAAAGGAGAAUUUGUCAGUACCAAUACAGCCGAUGUAAGAGUAAGAUCGGUAUGGAUGAAGAGGUUUAAAUGUUACCUUGAAAGCCUGUGCUAGGGUAGAAGCAGCUACCGAUGGUGAUGUCUGAGUUCUCCUGGUGGUAACUUUCUUGAGGCAUAUGCCUCGAUGCACGAUGGUGGCUAGGGUGGGAGCAUUGUGGCCGAUUGAAGAAAUUGGACCUGAUGCAAACAAGUCAAUCGGCUUGCCACUCCUACUGACCGACGGAGGGAUGUUGUCAACCUGCAAGACGAUACAGAGGUGAAUCGCCGAUGGAAAUAAAAUUGAGAAAAUUGAAACAUUGGUUCGAAGAUACUUAUAGUGUCAUCAGGAACUUUGUACUCGGGGUCGAUCAUGCCAUGAUACGUGAGAGCCGAUCUGCAGAACAAAUGUUCCUUCCAUUCUGCCCACCAUUACUUGUAUGCCUGUGUGAUGAAGGCGGCUGGAACCCACUCUGAUAGGUCUACAUCUGUAUCGACACUUGAUGGCAGUUGGGUCACUCAGAUCCAUUCAAGAAGGCUAGUGAUGGCUUGCCUGGGUUUUAUCACAUCAGCAUAACAGAGUGCAAUCGAUAGCUGGCCGAAGGCUAAUUGGCGAGCUAAUGCCGAUGGGUUGUAAAAACUCAUAGGUCUGGAUGGAGGUUUUCCCACUGCCAAAGAAAUUCACUGGUAUAGCUCUGGGGGUGAUCAAUGCCAUCUUCACUUCGUGAUUCGUGUCAAGGGCAACAUUGAACGGGUUGAAGACCAGAGGAAACAUACUGUCUGGAUCAUCAUAAGCUAACCAUGCUCGCUCCUCUCUGGUCAAGCCUUCAUACAAGGUCUGGAAGAAUCGGCUAACCUGGUCUGCAUUACCCCCUGAGCCAGGUAGAGCUAUGAUAGCUUCACCGAAGUUUAGGGGAGGGCGUGUUGCCGAUUCUUCUUCAUCCAGUUCAUAGUUCUCGGUUAUAUCCCUUGGAAAACGCUGUGCAAAAAGGUCAAACUCCAGACGCUUGUGCAUAUGGAGAUUGAGCCACAUGUUGAUGAACCACCAGGGGCCUCCCAAGUUGCUGAUAGACUGGCCGAGUAGGAGUUUCCUCGUUACUUGGUGAAGGAGGUGAUAGGCUGCUCCGAGCAGGUAUCGGCCGAGGGGGAAUCGGCCACCAUUGGCCAGAUUUUCUGCUGCUGUUAGGUAGACGGAGGUUGGUCCUGCUGAUCGGCCGCAAAACACGAACUUAUCUAACCACAUGUUCAGGAAGCAGGUCUGCUCUUUUAUGUUGACAGGGCCUGUUCGGCUGUAUUUUUGGAUGUACCCUGACCAACCGCCGAUAGCACGAGUUUCUACCUUGGCCUUGGGUUUGGUAUCAAAGAAAUGGGUGCUAUCGGCAGAAGAUACAUCUAGGCCCGUAAGCAUAGCCACAUCGGCAAGUGUAGGGGAAGCAGGGCCAUGGCCAAAGACAGAGGCAUUGAGCGUGUCUGACCAGAAAUAUGAUGCAGCUAUCAGCAGUGACUCAUUCCUAUGCAUAUCGGCAAUGGACAACCUAUUGCAUUGGUCUAGCUUUCUCUCGCCCCACUGGACUUCAUUUGAGUUGCUGACCCUCAAAAACCAAUCCGUCCAUCCUACUGUAGGGCUAGGCCAAGAACAGAAAGUAUCCUUCCACAGAUCCAAAGAAAAGUUCUCGGCCCUAAAAGGAAUCCUGUUGGUUUCUGCGUUAAUGAGAUCGGUUGGAUCUGGAUACCCUAACGGGCCAAGGCAUUGGAGAUGUGGUUGAUCGGUGGGGAUGAAAAUUUUGUUGGACAAAUCCUAAUGGUUUUGAAGGUAAAAAAAACACAAAGAAAGAAAAAGAAAAUGUUCAGUAAGAUGGAUUGUGGAUGAACAGGGGUGCGAGAAAAAGUACAGGAGAUGGAGUGAAGAACUGACCUCAGGAACGAUGAAGUUGACGGCCAUCUUGCCACGGGGAGGAUGAUCGAGGGCUUCGGAGUUGGUGAAGAAGGGACUUCGUCAGAGAUCUCGGAGACCUUGGAUAGCGCCGCCGCCGGGAAAGUAAAGUUGGGGUUGUGGAAUGAUGUGAUGGAGAAGGAGUACCCGAGAAGGAACUAUUUAUAGGAUAAAACGGGCAAGGGCAAAAUUGACUUAUCUCUUCGCCGUAUCCGUAAAAUCCGAGGGUACUCAGGUAGAUUUGGUAACUGUUCGCAUGGUAAUCAAGGGAUUGUGCAGGUGAUUGGAUAGGAAGCGGUCAUUAUCCAGAGAUAUUUUACUGUGCGGGAUCUCCUGGUCGGUCCAUCGGCAGCGCCUUGUAACGGUCAUAUUGCCGAUGGGCGAAUAAAGUGGAGAUAGCCGUUUGGAAAGAUAAGAUAUGGGCGUCCUGGUCAGUCCAUCGGCAAGUCCCUGUAACGGUAGUAUUGCCGAUACGCGACUAAAAUGGAAAUGUUCGUUUGGGAAGCUGAGGAUUUCGAGGAAUCUGCGGAAGAAUCAAAUCAGAAUUGCUCAGAUUAAGGCUGUCGGUUACCAGAUUGGGAGCAUUAAUUGAGGAAAGGCAUCAUUACUGCAGAGAAUUUCGGAGCAUUAAUGAUUUUAUACUCUGAAAUUGGGGGGCAUGUGUUGACACCGUUUUUGGGCACGUGUCCAUGAUUGGUAAAGUGUAGGUUGGCAAGAUAAGACGGCAGUGUUUUGUCUACAGGAUGAGUUGCCGAUAAGGAUGAGUUGCGGAUGAGGAUGGUUGCUGAUGGAGGAGUUGUUAAACGUGACUAAGUCCAUAGGUGUUGAUGUGUCUAUGCCGAUGGCUACAAUAAGGGAGUCUGUCGAUGCUAUGGAGGGAGAGUCUGGAAAGUUGCCGAUCGGUUUGUGGAGGUGUUCCAGUUUGUCACGGGGAGAUAGUUUUAUGUUUUCCUUAGUUAUUUAUAUUGUUUUGUAUACGGAUUCUGUAUGAUUUGGAAUUCGAGUUCUAGUCGUGUCUGGUUGUAGCUCUUUGAGCAGGGUAUAAAUGUGGACCCUAGGGCUUUGUAAUCGAUCAUCUAUCAAUCAAUCAAACACACGUUUUUACUCAUAUUCCAAGCAUCUACUUUUUCGACGACUUUGUCAUACUUUUUCCUUUUCAUUACGUGUUCUUAGGAAUUCGUCGACUUAAGCUUGGUGUGUUCUCAAGUUCCGCGUGAAUACCUCUUGGCCGUGACAUCCGGGCGCAUCGCUGUUGUCGGGACCAAAGUGUUCGAGUUACCACCUUUGCCGAUAGUAAGGUCAAAUCGGCUGGCACGCCUUAACGUUUAAAUCGGGUAUUAGCCCUUUGUGUUUGCAGAUCAGCUUUUGCACCAACAAACGUAGUCUGGUACUGAUGAUUAGAACUACCAGAUCAGCCUUCCUAACCAUCAUUACUUGUGAUAUGCAAUACUGUGGCACGGCGCCGUUGGGGCGUACACGAGGAUUACAAUCUUAAGUAACGGUACUUAGGUACACCAAUCGAUAGUUCAAUAAGGAUAAAUCCGCAAGCGCACGGAACUAUCAUUGUAGCAUUUCAACCCGUGAGUGGGUAUCGUUAUUUAUAAUUCCCAUAGGAAGGCAGGACGAAUGCAUCUAGCUUUGGUAUAAACAUGAUUACUUAUUGAAUGCAUAGGUAAACAUAGCAUAGACAGGGGUAAAUCAUAGUUCAAGGAUAGUGGACAGACAUCUGAGCCAACCUCAAGGAUAAAAGAUAAAAUAAAGAAAAGAAUAUAUCUAACUGAGCAGACAUUGGUCGUAUAUAGCUAUGCAAAGAACUGUUAGUAAACAUCUAACUAGCAAGUCUAACAUCAGAACCAAGUCUGGGAUGACAGGGAGAUCCCCGCAGGUGGACAUCCCACCCGAUAGAGACUUUACAGAACUUCUACCAGAAUACCUGAUCGUGGGGGAUUACAAAGUAUGGACAGGGCUGUCACUACCCUACCACCUACCCCUCUGCCCGAAAGAUACCCGCACAUCCGCUGAUCUCCGCAUACCCGAGCACCACGCCCGUGUAAUUGGAAACAAAUCCUAACCCCCAUGGACCCCACCCCUUCGGAGUGACAGGCUAAGUUAGGAGCAGCCACCACAGCCCAACGAACCGUCAUCUCAUCCCUAGUUCUUUCUCUAUUCAUACUAACUUGAUGAACGAUGAAGAACAAUGAUGAACAUGUCAAGAACAUAACACAUAAACUAUGUGCUAGUUCAUAUAUCAUGAUCAUAACAUGAACAAGACUAUACUCUAGUUCAUAUGCAUUGUUAUAUAAAUAAGAUAAGAACUUGAACAUGAAAGAGAACUGUAUUGUAUUCAUACCGAGGUGUUCUUCUUCUUCCAAAGAUACAAGUUCUACUUGCUAGCUCUUGCCUUGCUCUACCGCUAAAACUAAUCUAAAGAAUACAAGAGUAAUGUGAGGUGAGAGGCUCCUAAUGAUGGUGUGUGAUGAUGGUUCUUAAGUACCAAAUAUAAUCAUCAAAUAAAUAAAGAAAAGGAUCCAAAUGCAACCAACACCCAGACUUAGGGUUUUAUCUGAUAGAAUUCCACGAGUUUUAGUGUUUGUCUAUUUCUGCAGGGGGUUAUCAGGAAAUAUGGAGGAAAGACCCACAUGUCGCGUUUACAUAGAGAUAUUAAUGUGCCGCACAAUUUUCUAUCAUCUAGAAGAGUCUAGAAGCCACGAGAACGAACGGGAGUCCGAGCAGGCCCGGGGGCAGGGUGCCCGCCCUCCCCCCUAGGGCACCCGCCCUGCUACAGGGACCAAUUAGGUCCCACCUCGCGGAUUAUGCUCCACCGACCUAAAGGAUUAAGGAAAACCGUGCGAUUAAGGUCGGUUUGAUCCGACGGCCCAUGUUCAUUUGGAGGGGCUAUAUAAGCAGGCCCCCCAGCCCCUGGAGGAGGGCAAUCCCAUUAUUCAUUAGCAUAUUUUCUAGAGAGGAUUCAGAGAGAGAGGUCCCUCUAGGGUUCCAACCUCAUAGGGUUUAGCAUCCAAUGUGAGAUUAGAAUUAGUUCUUCUAGAUUGAGAGAGAUAGAGUGGAGGUGUAGAUCGGAGAAAGCCCGGCCUGUCGGUGUCUACUCCAAGGUUGUACCUGCGGGAUCAAGUCUCCUAACCCGGGGCUUGCUCCUAAGAUUCUUUAGUAUUUCGACUUCUAAAUUCUAGUAAGUUCUUUGUUCUUAUUGUUCUUUGGUUUAUGAGUUUACUUUAUUCUCUUCCGGUAGAGUUUAGAGUAAUCAUUGCUAGCGUAAACGUGGUGUUUGGGCUAGGGUACUCAUAGAUAUCCCUUGACUAGGUGGAUCGUGGUAGUAGCGAGGAACGUGACAUUUCCAUAGCUACCUUUGUAGCCCACAAUCCCGUUAGCAGGAUCGGUAGGGUUUAUAGGUGUGGGUCGAACAUCCUUUGUGGUGUCUAGACUCCGUAUAAAUGAACAUCCUUUGUUCUAGUCUAGACACCAUUAGGUCGAGCGAUCUGAUCUGACAAAUGUUUUAAAUGCUACACUCAUGAUCUUAUUAUCCAUCAACUUUGUCUUGCUCACUAUGCUUAAGGUUAGAGAAGAACAAAUACACUUUUGGUUCUGUUGGUGUUUUUCACCAACAGGGCCCAUGCACUUGAUCUCUGCCUUGUCUCUAUGAGCAGGUACACUUCGAGCAAAACCUGAAGGAGUUUUACAACUCCCAGAUUCCACCAAGUGAAGGACUUGGAUCUACGAGCACAAACACACUGAGCAGGAUGUUGCCAAUGCCGCACCUCGAACUACUGGUCAAACGAAGAACAUUGGUGACACCGUAUCAAGAGGUGCAGAUGUCAAGGCCCACACCUAAUCAAAUGAUGCAUCUAAAGGAUGAACACGGUGAGAAGUCUUGUGCAGAUGACUUAAAACAUUGGAUCCUUGCUGUUGGGUAUUUUAAACGCAAACAGAAAAAUCCGCAAGCGCACGGAUACCGAUGUAGCCUUCACCCGGGAGUAUUCACGAGUAUCGAUUUUCCACAGGGAACGUGAGUGUACUAAUUAAGAAUCAAGAUCGCCCAAGGAUAAUUAUAUAAUUGUUUUUGGUGGGAAGAGAGGAAGUUUCCUGAGAGUUCUCUAGUUGAUCUAAGAAUCAAGAAUUACUUCAAGAUUAUCUAUAUCGGGACAUCAGAGCACUAACCACAGAAAGAGAUGAGAAGGGGGCUAGGAAGGUCUGACUACGGUCCUACAAACACCGAUCCAAACGAGGUGGAAUACAUCGACUGUUAGGGUGGUCACUACCCUAAGGCUACCACAACAAUCCGCAGGAUUGGGUGCAAUUCUAGGUAAUUGCAAGACUAAACACCACGUCUAAUCUAUUAAUUACUACUCUAGCGUUAUAAAGACUAGAGCACUUGAUGCAAGCGGGAAUCCUAUAAAUAACUUGAAUGUAAAUAAAAGUAAUUAGAGAACUUAGGAAUUAUGAAUUGAAGAACCUGGAGAACGAUGAAGAACGAACCAGUUGCUGCAAAAGUACAAUGUUGAGCAAGAUCCGACAGAUCCGGCUCCUCCUCCUCCGCUCUCCUCUUCUCUCUCCCUAUUUUCAAGAUUACAACUAGAACUAACUAGAACUAGAACUAGAACUAGAGGAACUAGAACUAGAACUUGAUGAACUAGAACAAGAUCUAGAUGAACUAGAGGUAGAACUAGAAGAACUAGUGGGAUCCUCUCUACUUGGAUGAAGAAUUGAAACCCUAACUUUGAUUCUGUAGAAGAGGUAUGAUCUCCAGGGGCCAGGGGGCCUUGCUUAUAUAGUCUUUUCAAUUGAAUCUGGGCCGUUGGAUCAAACCGACAUUGAUUGAACGGUUAUCCUUGACCCUUUAGGUCGGUGGAGCAAUAUCCCGAAAGAGAGUCCUGAUUGGACUCUAUGUGAGGGCGGGCGCCCAGGAGAGGAGGGCGGGCGCCCUGUCCCUGAGUCCUCUCGGCCUUCGCUUCGGUCCCGUGGCUUCUGGAGUCUUCUAGAUGAUAGAAAAUUGUGCGGCAUGUUAAUAUCUCUAUGUAAACUCGUCGUGUGGCCCUUUCUUCCGUAUUUCCUGAUAACCCCCUGCAGAAAUAGACAAACACCAAAACUCAUGGAAUUCUGUCAGAUGAAACCCUAAGUCUAGGUGUUGGUUGCAUAUAAGUCCUUUUCCAUGAUUAAUUGAUGGUUAAAUGUGAGCAUUUAGGACCGUCAACAAGCUCCCCCAAGCUUAACCUUUGCUCGUCCCUGAGCAAAGAUGAACUCAAGAGUUUCUAUAGUGGUUUCAUGCCUUAAAGAUACACAUGCGUUCAAACAAGAUGUCAUCUUUGGUUUAGGGUAACUGUUAAGAUUUAAACUUAUUCAUUUUACCUUUCACCAUGGGGCUUGUAACCGUCACUUCUGUCUUGAGCAGUUAAAAGAUAGAACGGUCUAGUCAAGCGCCAUGUCUCUUGUUCUUCGAUUAACUAUAGCUCUGAAGUUUUUGUAGAUUUUCAAAUAAAACUCAGAGAUUCCUUGUACGACUCUCUCUAGUCUCUCUUUAGUGGUAUUUCUGGAUCCUUACCAAGGCAGUAAUGGUGUAUGCCUUCUCUCAAAGUAUGUGGUAUUUUUAGUAUGAGGCAUAGUGGCAUUGCCUUCUCUCUCACCAUACUCUAAUAAGGUUUUGAUAUCUGGAGCUCAUAGGUGGGAGACAGCUAAUACAUACUUACAAGGCAUUUAUUGCGUAGUCAAACCAUGGAUCCAGAAGAUCAAGUCAAUAAGUCAAAUUAAGAUGUGCAUGUGUGGUGAAUGAAUGUGAUAAUGGUGAAAAUAAUGGUUAAAGUCUAAUUCUACUUUUGCUCUUUUGAGGGGAUAUAUACCUUUCUUGCACUUGAGGCUUUUUGAGGAGAAUGAUAUGCUCUAUAUUUUCUUUUUCUUUUCUCUCAGGUGGGUAUCUUGUACCCCUAAUUCUACUGUCGGACACUUGUCCAUUUUUACCUCUCGUCUCACUUUUUCUUUUCUUCGAGGUUUCGGGCACUUGCCCCUUUUUAUUUCCUCGUAUACUUUUUUUUUCUUUUUUUCUCUUUAUUUAGAGCACUCAUCUCAUGAGAUAAUAUAGCAAGUUGUAGUAACAAGAUAACUUGAGCAUUUAUUUCACAGGGGAAAAACAGAAAUAUUUUUGGCUAUUCUCUCCCGGCUUAGGAGUAGAAUAUCUUUGGGUGGUUCUGGAGAUGGAAAUGGUUGGAUAUAUGUGGAUGCGUACUUCCGGAGUAGAAGCAACAUGUAUAAGUGAACGUGCAAGUGAAUCUUGAUUUAACCACAUGACAAGCUCCUAAGGGUCUACACAGCUUGACCACACUCAAUGCUCAUAAGCAGUAAAAAGUAAAUGUGUGGCUCAAAGUCUAGCAAGCAUGUAUAUAUGGCUGUGGUAGGAAUUUAAACUCUCAUCAUACAGGAACUCAUCAUGUGAUAUUUUAAAGAUUUUCAAAGAUAAAAUUCUCCAGAAUUCUAGCAUCUCUAGGAACAGAUAAACAGCAGCUCAACCUUCCCAUAUCGUAUCCGUUAACGACUUAGACAUUAGAUCAAGUACUCUUCCCACAAGUUCAGGUUUAGAGCAAAGCUUAAUUAAUAACAGUCAUGCCUAAACUUGAGAGAGAUUUUAAUUUUGAGAACUAGUCAUGGCAGAGCAACUAUCCAUCAUUUCCAUGUGAGAGCUUAUCAUGAGGGUUCAUAGCAAACUUUAUUUAUUUAUUUAUUUAGCAAACUAAGCAAAGAUAUAUAUAAGCACAAAAUCUUUAUUUGGGUUUUUAUGAUUAUGCAUCUUUUUAUUAUUUGAGUAAAAUAUAAACGUGAGUAGAACACUUAGCUGGAAAAAUGGGGGGUGCUCUCUCCCAAGCUGGAUUUUGACGUAAUUUCUCCAGAUGUAGCUAGCAGGUGGCGGAGGUGUAUUUGAAUGUCGGCAGCACCCUGACAGCGAUUUGGAUUUCUUCCGUCUGCUAGUCUUCUUUGAUCCUUGAAUUCUGUGGAGCUGAAAUAGACAACAAAGCUUUGUGGAACUGGUUAAGUGUUAGCAUAAAUAUCUAGCCUUUAUCAUGUUGAGCCUCCUCAAUAAAUGUUACUCUCUUUAGUAGGAUCAUAAUUUUAUUUUUAUAAUUUUAUUUUUAUAGGACAGGAAUAUCUUUAUUUCAUUUUUAUGCCACCACAGUGAAUGUACUUAUGGGUUUUAUGCCAUGAGCAUACUCACAUGGGGCUUACUAUUUUUUUAACAUUUUUAUUUUCUUUUCAAGAUGAUAUGAACCUGAUUAACUAAGAAAACUAUUUUAAAUAAUUGAAAGGAAAAUGAUAACUACCAAGUUUACCUCUUGGCAAGGCGUUCGGUGUUUUUAAGUCCUCCGAACGGAACCCUCCGUUUUCUCAAUCGUCCUGGGAUUCGCUGGAUGGCGUAGUCGGUGGUUCCGGCGGCGGUGCUACGGUCUCCUUAGGACAGUUCUGUUCAAGUUGUAUGUCUUCAGACCUUACCACUUCUCCUUCGUAGUCUGCCCAUCCGUCCUUGAUGAUUUGCCUCUUCUGGUUGCGGUUGCGUCGUCUUCUUCUUGUCCUGACCUGCUUAGAGUCUUCAAUUAUAUAGUUAGGGUCAGUAAAAUAGCGACGUACCUUCUCAGAGGGGAAGUUCAUGUGGACUUCUCCGGUUCCAAUAUAGAUGAUUGCUUUAACGGUGCUGAGGAACGGUCUCGUAAGGAUGAUGGGUGGAUCGUACUUGUCUUCUCCCAUGUCAAUAACCUUUCGGAAUGUCUGAUCCGCUAUCUGAAGCUGAAUGUAUAUUGGUUUUAGGGGCAUGGUUCCGAACAAUAGCUGAUAGGUGACUAGGUCGUCCUUUUUGGUCAGAAACGGUGACUUAAGUCGACGAUCUUGACCUCCUUGAACUGCAGUGACCAUCUUAGCUGACUCGGUCUACAUUUGCUUGUUCCUGUUCCUCCUGUUGGUCCUCUUCCUUGGUACAUGUCGGGAAUGCUCUGAGAUUUGUGUAGUCUUGUUCUUGAAGAAAAACGUCUUAUUCCUCCCCUUGAUGUAGAAACUGAUCUUGGCAGCACUAACGUAGAUGACACCUCCCGAGGUGUUCAGGAAUGGCCUCCCUAAGAUGAUGGGUGCCCUCUCAUCAGUACCAGUCUCUAUCACCACGAAGUCUGCUGGAGCGUAUAAGGUACCAACUCGGACAUAGAGGCUCUUCAGUACUCCCUUUGGGAAACUUAGUGUCCGAUCUGCAAGCCUGGGCAUAAUGUUGACGCUGGAGCCAAAGUCGUAGAGUGCUUCUGGGAAGUCCACCAUGCCGAUGGAGAUUGGGAUGACGGGGCGUCCUUGAUUGCCUCUCUUGACCGGCAGAAGGUCAGUAAUUACUUCCACAACAGGGUUACUCCAGAAGUUACGUCCUUAAGCAUCUCAGGGCAGUGAUUGCCUGAGUGUCCAGUAUCUCCAGUGUGUUUGUGCUCGUAGAUCUAGGUUCUUCACUUGGUGGAGUCUAGGAGUUGUAAAAGUCCUUCAUAUUUUGCUCAAAGUGUACCUGCUCAUAGAGACAGGGCAGAGAUCAAGUGCAUGGGCCCUGUUGGUGGAAAACACCAACAAAACCAAAAGUGUAUUUGUUCUUCUCUAACCUUAAGCAUAGUGAGCAAGACAAAGUUGAUGGAUAAUAAGAUCAUGAGUGUAGCAUUUAAAACAUUUGUCAGAUCAGAUCACUCAACCUUAUGGAAAGAUAAUAUCUAAGUAAAUGUUUUUUUUCUUUACAUGACUAUCAUUUUCCAAAGAUUGAGUGUGCAACAUUUUAGUUCAUAUGAUUAGGAGUGUGGGAUCACAAAGGUGGAAGGACUAAACAUAUUGAAUUGACUGGGUUGGUUAAUCUAGAGUUGUAAAUCAUACAUGUUUGUCUCUUUAUUCAUGUGAACGCUAGAACCAAGGAGAAACUUAUAAAAGUGAUAGUCAAGUACCUUAAGAUGUUACCUUACUUUAAGAGUGAUGGUAUAGUAUCACCUUGUGGAAGCUUUCCUUUCUUAGUGGUUGUGCAUCGUGUUUGUAGCACCCUCCAUGGAUCCUCUCUUGUGAGCUAUGUCUUCCUUGUGUAAAUUGUUAAACUUCUUGUGUAUCUCUCUUUGUCUCCAAUGUGGGUUUAUCUCAGGACUUCCCAGGUCGAUAUUGAAAGUUUUCCUGCAGGGGUUAGUCCAACAAAAUAUCCAAUAUCUACUAUACCAUACUAUCAGCUCAAAAAUCAACCUAGACACCAUGUCUAAUUUGAUUUAGGAGGGCAUCUUAAAUGAAGCACCAUGCUUAAUUUAAAGUCCUUUGGAAGUAAGAUCAUCAUUCCUAAACUAAGCACCAUGCUUAAUUAAGAGAUAAAUGAAACUACUCCAAACCUAGACAUAUACUAAAGCAAAUAAAGGUAGCAUGAGAGUAUUUAUAGAGUUAUACUCAAGUGGAGAUGAAGUAGUGUGAUUAGUAUUUAACAAAAUUGAGCAUGUCUUAAAGGUAGGGACAACCAACAUAGCAACAUGGCAAAGGAUGUUUUUAAUGUAAAGUACUCCCCCAAGCUUGAAUUUUACAAAAUUCAAGUUUGGAUGAAUUUAAUUCACUGUUGUAUGAUGAUUGGUUGGACAUACCUUGUGCUUGUCAUUCAUUCGAUCUUCUUGCUCCAAUCCUGGAAAGGUUAGUGACAAGAAUACCCGAAGGAAUAUUUUUACAAUUAUCCUUAUAUGCUCAAUACACAAGUUAAUGUUGCUAAUAAUUAAAAGUUCAUGUUAUCGUCUGAUCAGUGCUUGUUUUAGGACACUAAGCUUGUCCUUGGGAAACCAUCAAUUUAUGUCGGCGAAGUGGUUUCCCCUCCAACACUGACCUAUUUCAAGAUCAACUCAACGAGAUCUGCAAUAUUUAAUAUAGACAUAUGCAUCGACAUCCGCCCUUUAAAAGUUUUUAUGAAUAGAAAGGAAGAGGGGGUUGGAGAUCUCAAAUGUGGUGAUGUUGGAGAGACCAAUGGAUUGUGAAGAUGUUGCAUAUGAGCAUGGAGUAAAUGAAGUGGCUAUGAAAUAAAUUCCAUGCUGAUUAAUGCUUAGAGUGAAAUCCAUGUGGUAUGGUGAAAGUGAUAAGGUGAGUGUGGUAAAAAAAGGAAAAGAAAAAGGAUACACGGACGACUUGGUUCGAAACUAGCACAGCUACCGUUCCCCGGCAACGGCGCCAAAAAGCUUGUUGGGUAUUUUAAACGCAAACAGAAAAAUCCGCAAGCGCAUGGAUACCAAUGUAGCCUUCACCCGAGAGUAUUCCAGAGUAUCGAUUUUCCACAAGGAAUGUGAGUGUAUUAAUUAAGAAUCAAGAUCGCCCAAGGAUAAGUAUAUAAUUGUUUUUGGUGGGAAGAGAGGAAGUUUCCUAAGAGUUCUCUAGUUGAUCUAAGAAUCAAGAAUUACUUUAAGAUUAUCUAUAUCGGGACAUCAGAGCACUAAUCACAGAAAGAGAUGAGAAGGGGGCUAGGAAGGUCUAACUACGGUCCUACAAACACCGAUCCGAACGAGGUGGAAUACGUCGACCGUUAGGGCUGUCACUACCCUAAGGCUACCACAACAAUCCGCGGGAUUGGGUGCAAUUCCAGGUAAUUGCAAGACUAAACACCAUGUCUAAUCUAUUAAUUACUACUCUAGCGUUAUAAAGACUAGAGCACUUGAUACAAGCAGGAAUCCAAUAAAUAACUUGAAUGUAAAUAAAAGUAAUUAGAGAACUUAGGAAUUAUGAAUUGAAGAACCUGGAGAACAAUGAAGAACAAACCAGUUGCUGCAAAAGUACAAUGUUGAGGAAGAUCUGACAGAUCCGACUCCUCCUCCUCCGCUGUCCUCUUCUCUCUCCCUAUUUUCAAGAUUACAACUAGAACUAACUAGAACUAGAACUAGAAGAACUAGAACUAGAACUAGAUCUAGAUGAACUAGAGGUAGAACUAGAAGAACUAGAGGGAUCCUCUCUACUUGGAUGAAGAAUUGAAACCCUAACUUUGAUUCUGUAGAAGAGGUAUGAUCUCCAGGGGCCAGGGGGCCUUGCUUAUAUAGUCUUUUCGAAUGAAUCUGGGCCGUUGGAUCAAACCGACAUUGAUUGAACGGUUAUCCUUGAUCCUUUAGGUCGGUGGAGCAAUAUCCCAAAAGAAAGUCCUGAUUGGACUCUAUGUGAGGGCGGGCGCCCAGGAGAGGAGGGCAGGCGCGCUGUCCUUGAGUCCUCUCGGCCUUCGCUUCGGUCCCGUGGCUUCUGGAGUCUUCUAGAUGAUACAAAAUUCUGCGGCACGUUAAUAUCUCUAUGUCAACCCGACGUGUGGGCCUUUCUUCCGUAUUUCCUGAUAACCCCCUGCAGAAAUAGACAAACACCAAAACUCGUGGAAUUCUGUCAGAUGAAACCCUAAGUCUAGGUGUUGGUUGCAUAUAUGUCCUUUUCCAUGAUUAAUUGAUGGUUAAAUGUGAGCAUUAAGGACCGUCAACCCUUGCCGGAAGGUAAAAUCAGUAUUUAUCCAUAUUUAUCUUUUCUGCAUUCCUUUUCCUUUUUUCACUUGCAUUAGCAUAUUUACUUUUCCACAUUAGCAUUAGAAAAGAAAACAAAAAUAUUUGUUCGUUGCACUGCAUCAUAAAAUCUAAAGCUCCAUGUGAGUAGACUUGUGGUUUAAAACCCCUAGAUAUAUUGACUAUGGUGGCAUAAAAUAAAUAUGUUUUCAUCUUACAAUAAAAAUAUAAAAAUAAUAAGUGCAUGAUCCUGCUAAAUAAAUAAAAUUUAUUAGGAGGAAUCUCAAUAUGAUAAAGGCUAAGAGAUUUUAUGCUAACACUUAACCAGUUCCACAAAGCUUUGUUUUCUAUUUGAGCUCCACAGAAUUCAAGGAUCAAAGAAGACUAGCUGGCUGAGGACAUAGUAAACGCUGUCAGGGUGCUGCCGACAUUCAAAUACAGCUCCGUCAAAUGCUAGCUACAUCAGAAGAAAGUACGUCAAAAUCCAGCUUGGGGGAGAGCACUCCCAUUUAUCCAGCUAAGUGUUUCUACUCGCGUUUAUACUUUACUCAAAUAAUAAAAAGAUGCAUAAUCAUGAAAACCCAAAUAAAAUUUUUUGUGCUUAUAUAUAUCUUUGCUUAGUUUGCUAAAUAAAUAAAUAAAGUGUCUAGGCCAAACUGAACUUAAAUGAUAAACUCUUACAUGGAUAUGAUAAAUAGUUGCUCUGCCAUGUACCUAGUUUUCAAGUUUGAGCUCUAUCUCAAGUUUAGGCAUAACUGUUAUAAUUUAAACCUGCUCUAAACCUGAACUUGUGGUUAGAGUACAUGAUCUAAAGUCUAAGUCGUUAAUAGAAAUGAUAUGGAAAGGUUAAGCUGCUGUUUAUCUGUUCCUAGAGUUGCUAGAAUUCUGGAGAAUUUUAUCUUUGAAAAUCUUUAAAAUGUUGCAUGAUGAGUUCCUGUAUGAUAAGGGUUUAAAAUCCUACCACAGCCAUAUAUACAUGCUUAUUAGAAUAUGAACCAUAUAUUUACUUUUUACUACUUAUGAGCAUUGAGUGUGGUCAAGCUGUGUAGACCCUUAGGAGCUUGUCAUGUGGUUAAAAUCAAUAUUCACUUGCACGUUCACUCAUACAUGCUACUUCUACUCCGGAAGUACGUAUCCGCAUACAUCCACUCAAUUCCAUCUCUAGAUUCACCUAAAAUUAUUCUACUCCUAUCCGGGAGAGAAUAGCCAAAAACUUUUUCCUGUCCCUGUUAUUCCCUGUGAAAUAAAUGCUCGAGAUAUUUUGGUUACUACCACUUGCUACAUUAUUCUAGGAGGGUGAGUGCUCUGAAAAAAAGAAAAAUACGAGGAAAUAAAAAGGGGCAAGUGCCCGGAACCUUGAAGAAAAGAAAAAGUGAGAUGAGAGGUAAAAAUGGCAAGUGUCCGACAGUAGAAUUAGGGGUACAAGAUACCCACCUGAGAAAAAAGAAAAAAUAUAGAGCAUCUCAUUCUCCUAAAAAAAGCUUCAAAGUGCAAGAAAGGUAUGUAUCCCCUAAAAAGAGCAAAAGUAGAAUUAGACUUUCACCAUUGUUAUCACCAUCAUCACCAUACACCAUUCGCUCGCCACACAUGCACAUCUUGAUUUGACUUAUUGACUUGUUCUUCUGGAUCCAUGUUUUGACUAAGCAAUAAAUGUCUUGUAAGUAUGUAUUAUCUGUCUCCCACCUAUGAGCUCCAGAUAUCAAAACCUUAUUAGAGUAAGGUGAGAGAGAAGACAAUAUCACUAUGCCUUAUACCAAAAAUACCACAUACUUUGAGAGAAGGCAUAUACCAUUACUGCCUUGGUAAGGAUCCAGAAAUACCACAAAAGAGAGAUUUGAGAGAGUCAUACAAGGAAUCUCUAAGUUUUAUUUGAAAAUCUGCAAAAACACCAAAGCUAUAGUUAAUCAAAGAACAAGAGACAUGGCGCUUGACUAGACUGUUCUAUCUUUUAAUUGCUCAAGACACAAGUGACGGUUGCAAGCCCCAUGGUGAAAGGUAAAUGUUGGCGGUCCUUAAGUACCAAAUUUAAUAAACAAAGAAAAGGAUCCAAAUGCAACCAACACCCAGACUUAGGGUUUUAUCUGACAUAAUUCCAUAAGUUUUGGUGUUUGUCUAUUUCUGCAGGGGGUUAUGAGAAAAUAUGGAGGAAAGGCCCACAUGUCGGGUUUACAUAGAGAUAUUAACGUGCCGCGCAAUUUUCUAUCAUCUAGAAGACUCCAGAAGCCACGGGAACGAACGGGAGGCCGAGCAGGCCCGGGGGCACGGCGCCCGCCCUCCCCCCUUGGGUGCCUACCCUGUCAUCUGGACCAAUCAGGCUCUGCCUCGCAGAUUAUGCUCCACCGACCUAAAGGAUCAAGGAAAACCGUGCGAUUAAGGUAUGUUUGAUCCAACGGCCCACAUUCAUUUGGAAGGGCUAUAUAAGCAGGCCCCCUGGCCCCUGGAGGAGGCACCCCUUAAUCCCUAUUCAUUAUUCAUAGACAGAGCAAAAGCUAGGGUUUGGAGAUGAGAGCUCUCCUCUCUUCUCUAAACUAGAGUAGAUCUAGAUAGUAGCGAGAUGGAGAGCGAGGGAGGAUUGGAGGAGAGGCCGACCUGUCGGUUCUUCCUCCGGUUGUACUUCGCCAUGAUCAAGCUCUAAUCAAGCUUGCUCAUGGGAUGACUCUGGUAAUCUACUUCUAUUUCAUUAUGCAAUUACUAUUCAUGUAUGUUCCGGUUCACAACUCUUUUGAGUACUUUUAAUCUAUAGGACCCUAUAGGUUAGAGUUGUAGUAUAGGUGUAAGCGUGGAGCUCACACCUAGAUUACUUGUGGAUAUCCCCUGUCUAGCCGGAUCGUGUGGUAGGCCGCGUACGUGACAGCUACGUUGGUCCUCUGCAGUCCACCUCCCGUUAACAGGACUGGUAGGGUUUAUCGGCCUAUGGAUAAGCAUCCUUUGUGAUGUAUUCUUAUCACAUGGUUCGUCCUAGACAUAGACAUACCCCUUUGAAUUAGAGAAACCAUAGUUAUCCUCUCUAUUCAUCUACCAUCGCCCAUAUACUAGAUUGCUCUACUCUGUAUUCCCAUAAUAUCACCCAUUGUUAUCUUACCUUUAAUAUUGUUCUUAUUCAAUUCUACCACCUUUCCUAUUUACACCUACCCAUCUAUCUAGGUUAAGUUAGAGCGUAGAUCAGUUCUCCCGUUUCCCUGUGGAUACGAUAAAACUUUUAACCGGGUAAAAGCUACAACGGUAUCCGUACGCUUGCGGAUUUAUCUGUGUGUGUAUAAAUACCAUAGUACACUCUAGUGCCAUGCUGGAGAUGACAACCUAGUAUUCAACUGGUGUUAGUAAGUGUCAACAGUAAAAUGAGUAAGUUUUAAGUCUUUACAGUUUACUCUAACUCAGAGAUGAGAUCUUGCUUGAACGCAUGUGUACUUUUAAGCCAUGAAACCACUGCAGAAACUCUUGAGUCCAUCCUUGCUCAGGGACGAGCAAGAGGUAAGCUUGGGGGAGUUGUUGACGGUCCUUAAGUACCAAAUAUAAUCAUCAAAUAAAUAAAGAAAAGGAUCUAAAUGCAACCAACACCCAGACUUAGGGUUUUAUCUGACAGAAUUCCAUGAGUUUUGGUGUUUGUCUAUUUCUGCAGGGGGUUACCAUGAAAUAUGGAGGAAAGGCCCACAUGUCGGGUUUACAUAGAGAUAUUAACGUGCCGCGCAAUUUUCUAUCAUCUAGAAGAGUCCAGAAGCCACGGGAACGAACGGGAGUCCGAGCGGGCGCGGGGGCAGGGUGCCCGCCCUGCUACAGGGACCAAUCAGGUCCCGCCUCAUAGAUNNNNNNNNNNNNNNNNNNNNNNNNNNNNNNNNNNNNNNNNNNNNNNNNNNNNNNNNNNNNNNNNNNNNNNNNNNNNNNNNNNNNNNNNNNNNNNNNNNNNNNNNNNNNNNNNNNNNNNNNNNNNNNNNNNNNNNNNNNNNNNNNNNNNNNNNNNNNNNNNNNNNNNNNNNNNNNNNNNNNNNNNNNNNNNNNNNNNNNNNNNNNNNNNNCCCUGUCGGUGUCUACUCCGAGGUUGUACCUGCGGGAUCAAGUAUCCUAACUCGAGGCUUGCUCCAUAGGAUUCUUUAGUAUUUCGACUUCUAAAUUCUAGUAAGGAUUCUUCAAUAUUUUGACUCAUAAACCAAAGAACAAUAAAACAAGAACUUACUAGAAUUAGAAGUUGAAUUACUGAAGAAUCCUAGGAGCAAGCCUCGGGUUAGAAGACUUGAUCCCACAGGUACAACCUCGGAGUAGACACGGACAGGCCGGGCUUCCUCCGAUCUACACCUCCACUCUAUAUCUCUCAAUCUAGUAGAAACUAGAAGAUCUAAUUCUACUCACAUUGGAUGCUAAGCCUAAAAGAAAUUUUAUUUAGAGUAGAGGUAUUCCUUCGAGGGCUCCUCUCAACUCUUUGUUGAACUUGUUCUCCUCCAGGGGCCAGGGGGUCUGGUUUUAUAGUCCCCUCAAGUGAACGUGAGCCAUUGGAUCAAACCGUCAUUGAUUGGAAGAUUAUCCUUGAUCCUUUAGGUCGGUGGAGCUUAGUCCCGAAAGAGAGUCCUGAUCCAACUCUGCAGGGGGGCAGGCGCCCAGUGCCUGGCCCCGUUCGGCCUCCGCUUCCUUCUUGUGGCUUCUGGAGUCUUCUAGAUGUAAGCUAAUUGCGCGGCACGUUAAUAUCUCUAUGUAAUCCCGACAUGUGGGCCUUUCUUCCAUAUUUCCUGAUAACCCCCUGCAAAAAUAGACAAACACCAAAACUCGUGGAAUUCUGUCAGAUAAAACCCUAAGUUUGGGUGUUGGUUGCAUUUGGAUCCUUUUAUUUAUUUAUUUAUUUGAUGAUUAUAUUUGGUACUUAAGGACCGUCAACAACUCCCCCAAGCUUACCUCUUGCUCGUCCCUGAGCAAGGAUGAACUCAAGAGUUUCUGCAGUGGUUUCAUGCCUUAAAAGUAAGAUCUCAUCUCUGAGUUAGAGUAAACUGUUAAGACUUAAAACUUACUCAUUUUACCUUUCACCAUGGGGCUUGUAACCAUCACUUGUGUCUUGAGCAGUUAAAAGAUAGAACGGUCAAGUCAAGCGCCAUGUCUCUUAUUCUUGAUCAGCUAUAGCUCUAGAGUUUUUGCAGAUUUUCAAAUAAAACUCAGAGAUUCCUUGUAUGACUCUCUCAGAUCUCUUCUUUUGUGGCAUUUCUGGAUCCUUUCCAAGGCAGUAAUGGUAUAUGCUGUUGACGGUCCUUAAGUAUCAAAUUUAGUUAUCAAAUAAACAAAGAAAAGGAUCCAAAUGAAAUAAACAUCUAGACUUAGGGUUUUAUCUAAUAGAAUUCCAUGAGUUUUGGUGUUUGUCUAUUUCUGCAGGGGGUUAUCAGGAAAUAUGGAAGAAAGGCCCACACGUCGGGAUUACAUAGAGAUAUUAACGUGCCGUGCAAUUAUCUUACAUCUAGAAGACUCCAGAAGACACGGGAAGGAAGCGGAGGCCGAACGGGGCCAGAGGCAGGGCGCCCGCCCUAUUUCCCUGGGCGCCCGCCCUCUGUUGGAGUCCAAACAGGACUCUGUUUCGUGGGAGAUCUCCACCGACCUAAAGGAUCAAGGAUAACCGUUCAAUCUAAGUCGGUUUGAUCCAACGGCCUAUAUUCACUUGAAGGACUAUAAAACCAGACCCCCUGGCCCCUGGAGGAGAGAGCCUCUCAACCCUAAUUCAUUAUUCUCAAGGGAGAAGAAGCCUCUGAUCAAGAUUAGAGCCACCACAUCAAUUAGACAUCUAGAUUAGCAUAGCUACAUAGGAUUAGAACUAGAAGGAGUCAAUCUUCGAUUGGUUUCCGGAUCUAUCAAGAGGAUUCUUGGUAAUUCUCUAAUUGUGCUUCUAAUUGUUCUUCUAAUUAUCUUUGUUCUUCAAUAUUAUGAAUAUGACUUUGUUCUACUUCAAUAUAUUGCUUAUGACUUUGCUCUACUUGCUUAUAUUCAAGAUUAUAUUGUUCUUAGUUUAUCAUAGUUAUGUACUUGGCUUAGUUAGAUUGGAUCUAUAUACAUGCUUAGGAUCGUAUAGCGUUAUGCAUUAGAUCCAUGGGUAAAUGAUAGAUAUUGUGUAGGCAUGGUGCUUAUACCGUAUUUAUCUGCGAUUGUACCCAAUAUGCCAGAUCGUGGGGUAGUUCGUGAUAGUGACACUUAUCUCUGUAUGAAAGAGUUAGAUAACUGUUCUCAAUUAUACAUGCAAUGAUAGAUACUCAAUCUCAUAUUCUAUUCUGUAAUCAAUAUUGAUGAUUGCUAAUCCCUUCCCAGUGGUAAAAGUAUAAAUAACGAUACCUAGAAUACUUCCCAGUUAAAAUGCUACAUCGGUAUUAAUCUGUGCGCUUGCAGAUCCCAUUCAUUAUUUAUUUAGAAGAGCAAUUGCAUAUUUCAGUACCGCGUCUCUCAUGUCAUGCUGGGGAUGACAACUUGGCUUAAGUGGUGUGAGGGAUAGGUUUGGUAUUUUUGGCACCGUUACUAGAUUUAGAGAACUUAGUCUACUUUUGGUAAUGAUGUUAAGAAUGCCCAACAUAUGCCUUCUCUCAAAGUAUGUGGUAUUUUUGGUAUGAGGCAUAGUGAUAUUGCCUUCUCUCUCACCCUACUCUAAUAAGGUUUUGAUAUCUGGAGCUCAUAGGUGGGAGACACAUAAUACAUACUUACAAGACAUUUAUUGCAUAGUCAAACCAUGGAUCCAAAGAAAUAAGUCAAUAAGUCAAAUCAAGAUGUGCAUGUGUGGCGAAUGAAUGGUGUAUGGUGAUGAUGGUGAUAACAAUGGUGAAAGUCUAAUUCUACUUUUGCUUUUUUAAGGGGAUACAUACCUUUCUUGCACUUUGAAGCUUUUUGAGGAGAAUGAGAUGCUCUAUAUUUUCUUUUUCUUUCCUCUCAGGUGGGUAUCUUGUACCCCUAAUUCUACAGUCGGACACUUGUCCAUUUUUACCUCUCAUCUCACUUUUUCUUUUCUUCGAGGUUCCAGGCACUUGCCCCUUUUUAGUUCCUCGUAUUUUUUUUUCUUUUUCUCUUUUUUUAGAGCACUCAUCUCCUAAAAUAAUAUAGCAAGUGGUAGUAACCAAGAUAACUCGAGCAUUUAUUUCAUAGGGAAAAAUAGAAAUAGGAGAAUGUUUUUGGCUAUUCUCUCCCGGAUUAGGAGUAGAAUAAUUUUGGGUGAAUCUGGAGAUGGAAAUGAGUGGAUAUAUGUGGAUGCGUACUUCCGGAGUAGAAGCAGCAUGUAUGAGUGAACGUGCAAGUGAAUCUUGAUUUUAACCGCAUGACAAGGUCCUAAGGGUCUACAUAGCUUGACCACACUCAAUGCUCAUAAGUAGUAAGAAGUAAAUAUGUGGCUCAAAGUCUAAUAAGUAUGUAUGUAUGGCUGUGGAAGGAAUUUAAACUCUCAUCAUACAGGAACUCAUCAUGCAUUAUUGAAAAGAUUUUCAAAGAUAAAAUUCUCCAGAAUUCUAGCAUCUCUAGGAACAGAUAAACAACAGCUCAACCUUCCCAUAUCAUAUCCGUUAACAACUUAGACUUUAGAUCAAGUACUCUUCCCACAAGUUCAGGUUUAGAGCAGAUUUAAAUUAUAAGUUAUGCCUAAACUUGAGAGAGAUUUCAAAUUUAUGAACUAGUUAUGGCAGAGCAACUAUUCAUCAUUUCCAUGUGAGAGCUUAUCAUAAGGGUUCAUAGCAAACUUUAUUUAUUUAGCAAACUAAGCAAGGAUAUAUAUAAAAGCACAAAAUAUUUAUUUGGGUUUUUUUAUGAUUGUGCAUCUUUUUAUUAUUUAAGUAAAGUAUAAACGCGAGUAGAAACACUUAGCAGGAUAAAUGGGGGUGCUCUCCCCCAAGCUGGAUUUUGACGUAAUUUCUUCUGAUGUAGCUAGCAGGUGGCGGAGGUGUAUUUGAAUGUCGGCAGCACCCUGAUAGUGAUUAGGAUGUCCUUCGUCUGCUAGUCUUCUUUGAUCCUUGAAUUCUAUGGAGCUCAAAUAGACAACAAAGCUUGGUGGAACUCUUGGCAAGGCGUUCGGUGUUUUUAGGUCCUCCGAACGGGACUCCUUGUGUUUUCAGUCGUCCUGGGAUUCGCUAGGUGGCGUAGUCGGUGGUUCCGGCAGCGCCUCCUCUUCGUGUAUAGCUAUCUUCUUUC